rnacentral:lncRNA from 1 species
UUGACUAUCCAGCUAACAAGCUUUCUUGCUAUGUGUCCGAUGAUGGGGCUUCCCCUCUCACCUUCUACGCUCUCCUUGAAGCAUCCAAGUUUGCUAAGCUUUGGGUUCCUUUCUGUAAGAAGUAUGGUAUUCAAACUAGAGCUCCCUUUAGAUACAUCUCCAGAGAGUUGUUACCAUCCCAUGAUAAUUCAACGGAGUUCCUACAAGAAUACAGAAAGAUAAUGGUAGGCGCAUUAUUCCUAGUAGGAACCAUAAGUGGUCCUUAAUUAUUUUAGUUCAACUUGGUGCAAUUAGUUAUUUAUUUAAUAACAAUGAUUAGAAUGCAGAUGAUCCUGAAUCUAGAAUUUUCUUCUCCAAUCUAUUGACUAUCUUUCUUUUUUUGUCCUUUAUAUAUAUAAAAUCUCCUUUAAAGAAAAAAAUAAAAAUAAAAAUCCACUAGCAAGCAAGUUCAUGUCCAAGUUACGUGUCCAAUUUUCUUUUUCUUCAUCCCUCUGUAGGGCGAAUAUGAAGAGCUUAGACGAAGAAUUGAAGACGCAACCCUGAAGUCAAUAUCAUAUGAGUUUAGUACUGCAGAUUUUGUCGCUUUCUCAAAUAUAAAAAAGGGAAGCCAUCCAACUAUAAUCAAGGUAUGUUUAAAGAUAUAACUAGAUUUGUUUACUCAUUAUUACCGUUAUUAGGUCUAUUUGGAUUGCUUUCUCAUAAGCUAAAAAACAAAUUUUUUAAGUUCAAUAAAAGAUUUUAUGUCUGAUUAAUUUUAUACUUAUGGUUUAAGAAAAAGCUUAAUAUAAAAGUCAUGGAAAUCUUAUUUCUUAUAAAACCUUACACAAAAAGUCAUUUUAUGUUUAAUACAAAUCUUAUGAUAUCAAUAUUACUUUUUAAAAAUUAUAACUUUAGCUUCAACUUUAUUUUAUAGGUAGAGAUUAAAAGAAACAAACAAUCUCAAACGGGUCGGAAUUGGUAUAGAACAAAGGACCACUUAAAGCAUAACAGAUUAGAAUGAUAGUAUAAAACUAUUUGUUUUUGUCUUUUUCUAUAUUAUAAAAAAAAAUAACUUUCUUUAAUUAAUAAAAAAAUAAAAAGAAACAAAUAAUCUCAAAUAGGUUGCAAUCGAUAUAGAACAAAUGACCACUUAAAGCUAACCAUAGGAGAUUAAAAUGAUAGUGUAAAACUAUUUGUUUUUGUCUUUUUCUUUCUAUAUUAUAAAAAAAAAAUAACUUUCUUUAAUUAAUAAAAAAUAGUCAUGCCAUUAAAAAAAAGUUUUAUUUAUUUGUAUUUUGAUUUAUACUCUAUUUCUUUGUUCUUGUACUUUAUUGUAUUUAAAUUAUAUUUCUUUAUAUUUACGUUCAAUGGUAUGGUUAGAUUAAAAGUUCAAUACGAUACUAAAUUCAACAAGCUUGCCAUGAGCUUUAUUUAAGCUAUAACUAUUCGGUUACGACAUGAGAGAGCUAGGGAGUUGUGGUGAAGGAAGUAUUUGACAACAUUUCUAUAACCACGGAUGAGACUUUGUAGGUUAUAUUGGAGAACAAGGAGAGCCGCUCUGAUGGACUGCCACAUCUAGUCUAUGUAUCCAGAGAGAAGGAUCCCAAGCAUCCACACCAUUACAAAGCCGGUGCCAUGAAUGUUCUGGUAAGGAAGCUCCCUUGAAUUAAUAUAAUUACUGAUCUCCCUCUUCUUCUGAUUGUUUCUUGAUAAACAGACCAGAGUCUCUGGAGCUAUGACAAAUGCUCCUUUCAUGCUGAACGUAGACUGUGAUAUGUACGCCAACAAUCCACUGAUUUUUCAUCAUGCAAUGUGUUUGCUCCUCGGUUCCAAGAAUGAACAGGACUGCGGGUUUGUUCAGUCUCCACAAUGCUUCUAUGAUGGACUAAAGGACGACCCAUUUGGAAAUCAGCUAGUAGUUUUGUAUAAGGUAUGCCAAAUUUCAAUAGCAAAGAGUGAUCUCUUCCAUACUAUAGAGCACACGUAGUAGAAGCCUCUUUUAUUUAUUUUUCAUUAAUUGAUAUGUUUGUUGAAUCAGUAUCUGGGAAGUGGGAUAGCAGGGCUUCAAGGACCUACGUACUCUGGAACGGGAUGUUUUCAUAGAAGAAAAGUUAUCUAUGGGUUAUGGCCAGAUGGCAGGAUGGAGAUUAAAGGAAGAAGUGGUAUGCAGUCAAUUUAUUUGUCUUAUGUAUCAUUCUAAUUUUCUUAGGGGGAUCUUAAAAUGUUAUAUGAAACUAAGCAUUACAAUUUUCUACUUCUUGGUAGGAAAAUUAACUGAUGAGAGAAUACAAAAAACAUUCGGAAAUUCAAAGGAAUUCACCACAACAGCUGCAAGGCUCUUAUCCGGGUUGAGCGGGAUUUCGCAUUGUCCAUAUGAUCUUUUGAAUCGGGUUGAGGCAGCACAAGAAGUUGCAACUUGCAGCUACGAGUAUGGAACUAGCUGGGGUACAAAGGUGAGCUGCAAAUAUUUAGAACAACAAGAAUAGCACGUACCUCAAAUAAAAUCUGAAGUUGCAAUGAUUAGCACUUCCCUGUUAUUUGAUUAAUUUAGCUGUAAGUUUACAAGAUUGCUAAAGAUGAUCCCCUCUUGCUUCAUGGCAUAGGCAUUAUAUAGCCUCUCCCUCUGUCACUGCUUCACGCUUUGGUUCUGCUUUAUGGACUUUAAGACGCAUGGUGAUAAAGAGUCAUUGAGCUCAACUUUAGGGGCAGGUUGGUUAGUUAGGUCAACCUACAGGUCCGAGGUGGGUUGUCUUUCUUUUUGGUCCUUGCUUUGGGGUGAGGUGCUUUUGUGCACCUUCAGUAUCCCCCUUCCCCCCUUCCAGCUUUGAGUUUUUCUUUCUUGGAAGAGGUUAGAGCCUUUUCUUUUUGGGUUGUGUGCUAAUGAUGUUUAGGCAGUGCUAGUGCAAUUUUCAAUGGCGGUAUACCCAUUUUGGUUUCCUCCGUUUUGAGGCAGUUUCUUCCACUAAUCUCAUGUUUGAUGGUUGAGAUUUGUCCACGUGCCGCAUCCUUAGCCUUUCCUCAAUUGAGAGUUUUCUCUUUCAAAUCCUACGCUAAUUAUUAUUUCUUCCUUCAAUAGUCGAUAAGUAUUAUAUCUCCCAUUUUCUUUCUUCAUUUAUGGUUUUCUUCUUCUUCUUCUUAUAUUCCUGUUCCACCAUGUUGAAGAAAUAAAAAAGGAUGAAUGCCUCUGGAUCGAUUGAAUAGUUUCAUGCUAAGUUUAAUAUCCUACUGUUAGUGGGACUUUGCUUCAUGGAUGAUGGGGAUGUAAUCCUGGCCAAAGGGAGUCUAGUUGAAGGUGAGAUGUUCUUGCCCAAAAGCAACUUCGAGGCUGGGCUUUGACUUCCACUUCUUCCAUUGUUUAGAAGCUUAGUGUGUCAUCUUCGACUUGUCUCGAACCAACUAUGUAUUAACAUCGUUCGUUUGAUCAUGUCAAUGAUCGUGUUAGAUUACUUAAGGGGUUUGAAUAUUUCAAUGAGGGAUGUUAUGUACAUCUAUACUAUGAAGUAGUCUCACAUUCCUCAUGAAUGGUACUUGUUCGCUUGCUUAGGUGUGACUGGCUUCAUCACCGGGGCACCCUUGACCAAUAAAGACCUGAAUUGUGGUAUUGUUGCCAUUUUGGCUGAAUGAAAGUUUGGACCUUUUGAACCCGAUGACCUUCCUAGGGUUCCAGAACACAUGACAUGUCACAUUAGUUUUUAGUUUUACUUUUCCUCUUUUCUUUCUGAAAGGCGAAUCUUAAUAAUGGACUACACCUAGAGGGGGGUUGAAUAGGGUUGAAUUAUAAAAAAAAAUGUCCCAACAAAGAUUACCUAAUUUUAGAAAUUUUCAAUGUCAAUGAACUUUUCUUUCAACAACUUUUCAAUAAAACAUAAAAUCCAUAAGCAAGUAUGUAUGCACCAACACUCUCCUAAUAAUUUAUAAAUGCAAUUAACAUGCAAAUGCUUCAACACUCCUCAAAAUUAAUUCAAAAGAACAAUUAUCUCCUUAAUUCAUUUCAAUUUACUACAAGAUAUCAUUAACUAAAAUGAACAAAAAAAUUAUUGAAGAUAUUCCAUGGAUAAUCACACUUAUUUCAGCUUAGAUAUCUUCCAUUUAACAUAUAUGCCCAAGUGACCAAUGAUAUCAAAAACUGAAAAUAAAUUAAAGAGUAGAAUGAGAGAAUGAGACAACUGACACCAGAUUUUAACGUAGAAAACCUUCGAAGAGAUAAAAAACCACGAGCCUAUAAUUGAUAAAAAAACAUCCACUAUGAAGAAUAAAAAUUGAAUACAAAGUUUUACUUAACUCAAACCAAUCAAUCCCUUCUCGGAACAUUUAACUAGUACCUUUUACUUUCAGCUUCUCACCUUCUUCUUCAGAAGCACACUUGGAGUCCACACCAAGAUCGAUCUUGACCUCUUCUUGAAUCCACACAAGAAGAAAAUGAGUUUUUACACAAACCCACAAAUAAUGAGAGAUGAAUGCUUAAGGAAUCAACCCAUUUUUCUUUUCAGAAAAUCCAUUUAAAAUUUUUCUUGGAAAACUUGGAUGAGAUUUUCUUAGUAUGCAAACAACCUCAAAAAUGGUAAGGAAUGAAGAGCUCUCUUUCAUGACUGCUAAAAUCUCUCUUAACUAGAAAUGAGAGAAGUUUGUAUUUAAAAAGCAAAAGAAACCCUUAAUCUGAUGGCUGAAAUUUGAUCUUAAAAACAGAUUAGUUGGAUUGAUCUACCCCUACGCCUAGAUCGAUCUAGAAACAGGGGAACUUACUACUUUUAUCAAAAAUUAUUUUUCCCAACUUCCCUAACACUUUUUAAAAUAAUUCAAAGCAAUCAACAUAUUGAAAAAUAGUGUUGAUUCAAAUUCAUUCAACACACGCUUGGUUAUAUACCUCGACCUCUUAUCAAAGUCUUAAUCUUCAAAGGUCAAGUAGUUCAACCAACAUAUUGAAAAAUAAGGUUGAUUAAAUUCAUUCAACACACAUGCGACUACAUACCUCAACCUCUUAGUAAAGUCUUAAUAUUUAAAGGUCAAGUAGUUUGAGAAGAAUUGAAAAACUGAGUUAAGAAACACUUAGGAAUUUUGUCCGGAAUUGCCAACCUAGCUAAACACUCAAACUUUCCUUCUUUGUAGAUUCUCCUUGCCUUUACUUUUUCUUGUAGUGAUAGAGGAUACCAAGGUUCUAGAGAUUAGUGAUUCCUAUUGAGCUGAGAUCACUGGUGAUUCAAAAUCGACAUUGCUUUAAUGACUAGAAGGUUCUGUUGAAGCCAACCCAAUUGUAUGCCAGUUUCAUCUCCUUGGGUUUGAUUUUUCCUACCCCCAACCUUUCUUUCAUCAAUUCGAAGGAGUGACUUCUUUGGAAAAAAAAAUUCUUGCUCCUCACACCUCCUUUAGUAGCUGAUCCUAUAAAGAGGAAGCGUGAGCAACCUUUGUUGAAACAAUCUUCUUCGGAUGGGAAGUCUCAAAACAUUGGGUCAAACACUAGGGGCUUGUUGAGUCACUGAAAAUCUCAAAUGAUAGAGCAGGGCUCGUUCAAGUGUUAGGGUAACCCAUUCUUUUGGGACCUUGAAGAGUAAGACAUUAUUUUCCUCCACUUUGAUUGAUCUCAUUGUAAGUUUUGAAGAUGCAUAAGAUUCUACUAAAUCUAAAGCUCCAAGAAUGAUAGGUGGAGCAAUGGAGAAAGACACUUCAGAUUUCAGGGACAUAAGGAAGGUUGUGGCCAUGUUGUCCUCUAUUGUAGUAUAUGACUCAUAUUGAGUGAGAAACAUAUGUGGAGAGAAAAAAAAAUGGCAAAUGCUAGAGUGGAGUGUAGUGUAUGGUUUGGGGGUAUUUUUGGAAUUUCAAUACCUAAGGGUUAAUAUAAAUACCCUUUUAUGUAACCUUAAUUUUGAUAUAGUGAAAGUCUUCUUCCUUGUUCCUGUGGACGUAGGCAUUCUACCGAACUACAUUAAAAUCAGUGUAUUUUCUUUUGUUUUCUCAAAUCUCUUCAUUAGGAACCCUCCCUAACCUAAGUUGGGGGAAAAGAUUCUGAGUUUGAGAUGCUUUUUGUUGGUGGGGAUUUACUUUCGGUGGUUGAGGUAGCUAAGUGGUCAACUCUUCCUAGUGAUGCCAAAUUUAUUUCGGGUUUUUCUAAUCCUGAGGUGGUAGAUAAAUCAAUUAGGCUGAGCUAUUGGGUGCGAAUUGAAGUUUUUGUUUCCUUUUCCCUAUGUUUUUAUGUUCCAUGUGGGUCAUUGAGUUGGCUUAUAGUUUCUGUUUUAUGUGUUUUCCUCAUCCAUGUAGGCCUUAUAGUUCAACCUGGUUAUUUGUCAACAUCUUAGUUCGUCUCGACUAAACUAGGUCGGGUUGAGGGACCAAGUGAGAGUAUGUCCUCCCAAGUGGAGGUCAUCUCAAAAGAGUUGGUCAUGUUAAAUCCAAGUUGGAGGUUGAGUGGAACAUUAUGACCAAUUUCCAGCAAGAGAUUGUGUCUCUUAGGGUUUGUUUUAGGGACUUGGAGUCUUGAUAGAAGUCACUUUCUAAAGAAAAAGAUGACUUGAGCAAUCUUUUGGAGGAGAUUAGAUGAGCCAAGAUGAUGUGCGAAUUGGACCUAUUCCACUUGCAAGAAAACUGAGACAAAGAGAAAGAAAAAGUUUGUGACGAAGUUUAUAUGCAACUUACUAGUGACUUGUUGGCCCGUGAUAAGCAGAACCAGAAUGAGGGGUACGUUCUUGGUUAGAGUAUUUGAAGCUUGGAAUUGAGUCUUUUGACCCUCUUGAGUUUGAUUUUGGUAGUAAAUCUGACGGGUCUUCCGACCAGUUCCUUAUGAAUGAUCAUUUUCCGGGUACGAAUGGUGGUCUUACAAAAUUGGAUUUAGAGGUGAACUUUUUUUUUUUUUUUUUUGAAAUCUUAUUGACUGUAAGGAUUUUGGUGUUUCAAGGAGCUUGGGUUGGCUGGUGGACAUCAGGAUGAGCCAAGAAAAAGACAAGGUAGUUGCAAGAGCUUAGGUGUUGUUCAUGAGGUAGUUAUUGAGGCUUUUAGAUCGAAGGAAGACGAGGCAACGAAGAAUGCUACUCUUUCUGUUUCCUUAGUCACUAACUCUUCUUAAUUCAAGGGUGAUACCUUAGAGAUUGACAUUAAUACUUCUUCAAAGGAGUCUGGGCUUUUGUUGGAGAAAGAUUCUUUUAGUCUUGAAAUUGCUUUACCACAUUAAUACCUCUUCAAAGGAGUCUGGCUUUUGUUGGAGAAAGAUUCUUUUAGACUUGAAAUUGCUUUACCAUUGGAAACCUGACAAUACUUUGUCCUAGCCCUCUUUCUCCUCUCCGUUUUUGUUUUGGAAAUGUUUGCCCUGUUUUAGACUAUAUGAGAUAUUUCCUUUGUAGUGAACGAUAUGCUAAAAACAAAAUUUUCUUUUGGCAAUUCUAUGUGUUGUUGUGUAAGUUUGGGAAAGAGAUGAUUUUGUGUUGUAGGUAGAAUGCUCUCACUUCUUACCAAGAGGUAGGGUUGAACUAUGGUAUGGUCCUACUAGGGGCAGGUACAAUCAACAUGGGUUGGCAAAUACAGUCGAAGCUCUAUAUAAUGACCAUUCAAGCCUUUUUAAUUUUUUGGCUAUGUUAUGGUGUUGCGGCUUAUAUGCUUGCUUGUAUUUAAGCUUUCCUGGAGGUUGCUUACCCAAAAUUUCCCAUUCUUACAUUGCAUAGUUAAGUUAAAGCGAACCAAAUUUAUUUAAUACAUAAUCAGUUAUGCAUAGUACUUUUUAAGGUGUAUCCGGUUCCAAGGUUUAGGUAUGGGUGUCCCAUCUGGUUGUACUAGCCAACAUGCUUCAGUUCGAUACAUUUUAAUAACCUAAAGCGACCUUCCUAAGUUGGCACAAACUUGCCUUCAUCCGCAUGUCUAUUUGGAUCAUGUAUAGCUCGGAGUACCAGAUCUUCCCUUUUAUAUGGGUUGAUGUUGGACUUUUUGGUUGUAUGCUCUUAACAGUUGUUGGUAUAUGCAACUAUUUGAAUGACCACCUUCUCAUGCCUUUCCUCCAGGAAGGUGGUGGUUUCGACCAGAGUCCUUUGUUUGUCUUUCCCUUCAUAAUAUUAUACAAAAAUGGUUGACAUUCCUAUAUUAAUUGGUACUAACCUCCGCUUCGUAGGAGUUUCCUUAGUUGUCAUGAUGUGAGGUGUGGCCCAGUAUGCCCAUAGGAUUACUGGUAGCUUUUCGACCCAUUUGGCUUUAGAUAUUUCCAAACUUUUUUUGAGUGCUGCGAGUAUUGUUCUAUUACUAAUUUCUACAUGUCCAUUACCUUAGGGGUAAGCCAGAGUUGAUAAAUGAUGAUGGAUACCCAAUUCUUGGCAUAAAUCCUUGAACUCUAAGGAUUUAAACUACAUUCUAUUAUUGAUAGUGAUCUCGAUCUUGUGGACUGCUGAACCGACAAACGAUGUUCUUCUAGAGGAAAGUGUGGAUGUUCUUCUCUCUUAUUUGAGAUAAUGGUUCUGCUUCAAUCCACUUUGUGAAAUAGUUAGUGGCAACUAGGAGGUAGUGUCGUUGAGCUGUUGAUAUAGGUAAUGACCCAAUCAAGUCUAACCCCUAAUGAACAAAGGGCCAAGUUGUACUAGUCGGGUCAUAUUUCUAUGGUGGUAAGUGUCGUAGAAGGGCAUACCUUUGACACCUCUCACAAGCCUAGACAAAUUGCAUCACAUAUUUUUGCACGUAAGGCCAAUAGUAUCCCAGACUAAGGGCUUGGUGCAUCAACAUUCUUUUGCCAUAGUGAUUUCCACAUUGCCCUUGAUGUAUUUCUGCCAAGAAAUACUGGGAUUCGGGAUGUGAUAAACAUUGGAGGUAGGGACCUUGUGUGGAAUGUAAAUAUAACUAUUUAUCAAUAAUUGUAUAUUGCAAGGCUUAAAAUCAAAGUUUAUGUGCAUUUUUUUUUUAGUCCUUUGACAACGUUCCAUUUUUUAAGAUAUUUAUAGGAAUGGUGUCCUCCAGUCUUCUUCAUUGAUAGAGUUACUGCAGUUUACACGCAAUUCGCAUCUGUAUAUGCUUGGUUGCUCUUGAUAUUCCAAGCUGACACUUUGCUGCUUGUCCACCCUAAGAUGUACUGCUAGGUUAGCCAAUAGGUCAACGAUCACAUUUUUCUCCCGCGGAAUUUGUUCAAUAUUGAAUUUGUUGAAUGUUUGUUUGAUUUCAUUGACUUUAGAUAGAUAGGCUCCCAUUCGAUCAUCUUUGGCCUCAUAUUGAGGCAGGACCUGACAUACGAUAAGUUUGGAGUUCCGAGUACACUUGGAUUUUUCGGGCUCCUAAAAGUUGAGAUACUACUAAUCGACGAAGUAAGGCUUCAUAGUUUGAUUCAUUUUUGGAUGCUUCGAAUCCAAGUACAAUGCUUUUGUCUGUACUUCCGAAUGGGGUUUCCAUGUGGAUUCCAAUCCUUGCACCAUGUUGGUUUGAAGCCCCAUCUACAUAGAGAACCUAAACCUCCUAUGGCCUUGGUUUGUCUCUGGUUUAACUCCUUUUGUGAACUCAACCACAAAGUCUACUAACACUUGCUCUUUUAAUUGUAGUAUGUGGUUUAUAGCUCAUGUUGUAUUCGCUUAACUCCAAAAAUCAUUGUAGCAUCUUUCCAGAUGGGUCAAGUUCGCAGAGGACGUUUCUGAUUGGUAAGAAGUUAAUACGAUGAUGGUAUGCACUUGAAAGUAUGAUUGAAGCUUUCAAGUAGCAACCAAUAAGGCCAGGGUUAACUAUUCCAAUUGGGGAUAACUGAGCUUAGUGUUCAACAAUGCUUGAAAGUAUGAUUGAAGCUUUCGAGUAGCAACCAAUAAGGCCAGGAUUAGCUAUUCCAAUUGGGUAUAACUGAGCUUAGUGUUCAACAGUGCUUUGCUUACAUAGCAGAUUGGUGUUUCUUUAUUUUUUUCGUUUUGAAACAAGAUAACACUUACGACCUGCCUAGAGAUUGCUAGGUAGAUGUAUAAUUUCUCAUGAGGUUGGGCCAUUGAGAGGGGAUUGACGGGUGUGAUAGGUGGUUUUUUUAGUAGUUUGAAGGCUUCAAUACAUUUCAUGUCCUGCAGCAAUUUUUUUUUUUUUUUUUUAGAAAAACAAAAAUGGGUUUACACUUGUCAGUUGAUUAGGAUAUGAAACUAGAUAAGGCUACUAUUUUUUCGGCUUCUUGUACCUUAUUCUGUGUAGUUGGGAUCUUCAUGUUGUGUAUGGCACGGAUUUGGUCCAGGUUUCACUUAAUGCCCUGCCCUGUUUCCAAAUGCCCUAAAAAUUUUCCACUGGCAACUUCAAAGAUGCAUUUAAUUGGAUUAAGCCAUAUCUCGUGCUUGAGUAUAGUGGCCAAUACUUCGGCUAGGUGUUGGGGAUGAUCAUUGGCCCUUUUACUUUUUACCAUCAAGUCGUCCAUGUAGACCUCCCUUCCUAUUUGUUACUAGAAUACUCAUGCCAUUUUACGCUGAAAGCCAUUACCUUGUAACAAUAUGUUCCUUGCUCCGUAAUUGAGACAGUUUUUUCCACGUUGUCAAGGUGCAUGGGAUUUUGGUUGUAUCCACUGUAUGCAUCUAAGAAGGUCAAUACCUCGUGCCCAACGACGGAAUCCACUAGCUGAUCGAUACAAGGUAUUGAGUAAUUGUCUUUUGGACAAGCCUUGUUGAGGUUAGUGUAAUCUACACACAUCAUCCAUUUCCCGUUUUUCUUUGGUACGAUCACGACAUUGGCCAGCUAGGUUGGGUAUUUGACUUCUCGUAUGAUGGCAAGUAGCUUUUUUUAACUUUUCUCAUAUGAUUUGAUUUUUAAAUGGUGCAAAACGACUUUGUUUUUGCUAUAUCGGUGGGAAAUGGGGUUCGACAUUGAGCUAGUGAUUAUAGACUUGCGGAUUUACCCUUGGCAUACCCUGUGGUUGCCAAGCAAACACGUGCGCAUAGGCUCGUAAACACUCUUCUAGGCUUUCCUGCAAAGCGUCAUCUAUUACUUUUCAUUGUUGCUUUGCUUUCCUAUCACGAUUUCCCAAGUGGGCUUUGCUACUUUCUAUCGUUUUUGAUCUUCUUUUGGCUUGGUCAGGGAGGAGGAAUUUCUUUAAUUGCUAUUUGUCAGGAGUUACCAAGGGUAGUGGUCUCACAGUUGUAGGUAUUGCAUACAUUAUAGCUAGAUGGUAAUGCCAAGCAGUGAGCUGGUUUCCUAAUACUUCCUGUAUUCCCUUUGGAGUUUGCAUCUUAAUCUUUUGAUGCUAGGUCAAGGUCACCACAUGGGUGGCAUGUAUCCAGGGUCGACCUAGAAUGGCGUUGUACGGGGAAGUGGAGGUUUCAAUUAGGAAGUGGGUUGGGGUUUUUGGUUGAUUUGAUCACCACCUCCAAGGUUAGUUUUCCUGUGCUUGGGUGGUUUUGCCAUUGAACCCAACCAAAAUGGUCUAACUUGGUUCCACUUUUUGAUGCUCUUGGUCCAUUAAUUGGGAGCAACCAUAGAAAAAGAUGUUGGAACUCCUAGUGUCAACUAGAAUCCUUUGGACUUGGUAUGACCUAAUAUGUAGGGUGACUACCAAUGGGCCACUGUGGGGGAGAGACGUGUCUAAGGUUUUGGGCAAUGAAUUCUAUCACUGGUUCCCAUAUCCUGUUGAACUAUUAUACUCGAGCACACUAAUGUGGUAGGUUGAAUAUGGUGUUGUUGCUGGACGACUCUUUGGCCUACAUGCAUAACAAAUCAAUUUUGGGUCUUGUUACUGUAGGUGUCGAUAAUAUGUAUAGAUGGUGCCAGGUUGUCAUCUAUUUUGAGGGAUGGUAGUUCAUCUUGUUCCUUUGCCUCAACCGAGGUUGGUCAUCGUGGAUCAUAUUUCUUUUCGUAUUGUUGUAAUCCUUUGCACCACACUAUAUUCUCAAGAUAUCGAUGUAGGGCCUUACAAUGAUUUGUUUGAUGUCCAUGAAUGUGAUAGUAAUGGAAAUCUUGGAUUUAUCUUGCUAUUCGGAAGGCUAGACGGGUGAUGGAGGCCAUCAGAAGUUCGGGUCACCUUUUAGUUUAGCCAACAAUUCUUGAGGUGAGGUCGUGAAUUCUACUCGGGUAGCGGGGGAUUUUUUUAUUGAAUCUUGUUUGUUUUCUUAGGUCCAACUCCUCAAUUUGAGGUAUGUUUGACUUGUGUGAUCUUCCUUUUGUUAUCUACGACCCCUAACUCUUCUUCCAUGUUGGCGUAUCUGUUUGCUUUCGCUAAGAGUUCCUCCAUGGCAGUCAACCCGCUUUUCGCCAGUGAUUGUAGUAGAGGGCUUCUAGGCUAUAAAGCCUUUCUGAAGGCAACAAUUACCGUCCGCUGGUCAUUGCUUUCCACUUGGACCAUUUUAGUGAUGAACUAGUGGGUGAAUUUUUGCAAUGAUUUCGUUGUUGCUUGCUUCAAGUUGAACAGAUAAUCUACACUUCGUCUCGUUGCAGGCAUCUUAGGUCAUAAACUAGUCACACGAUUGCGUGAAGCUGUUUAUGGAAUGCAGUGGAAGCUAAUGGAACGACGUUAGGGAUGAUCCAUUCAAGCUGGUGGGAAAGACUUGGUAGAGCAGUCCCUCUCGAACAUCCACAAGGGCCAUGAGUUACUGGAAAUGAUAUAUGUGUCACUGGUUCCAUCAUAGAGGUUGAAUUUUGGCGGGACGUAGUGGGCACAGUUCUUCUUGGAACAAAUGUAAUGCAAGAGAGAAUUUAAAUUUAUUUCCCCAGCUUUGAGUGGCCUUGGCGAGUGAAUUAGGUUGCAGUUUGAUUUGUUGUACUUCCGUUGCCAAUUUCUUGUAUUUUCGUUCAAGAUCCUCUGGUUUUUGGGUAGGUUGAACCUUAAGAAUGGCUGUUCAGGUUGUUGAGGCGCCCUGCAUGCAGCUGAUCACACUUCCCUCUAAAACCUAGUCAUUUCUAUGAGGGGCUCCCCCCCACGUGUCCUUCCCAAACUCAAGACCCUUUGGUUGAUCAGGACAAACGUAUAACCCGUUUGGAAUCACUCUAUCUGGACUAAGUUAAGCUCCGUCUAACACUAGAAGUAAGAAAUUUUCCUUCUUUCACAAUGCCAGACAUAAUGGAUAGACCAAACUGAUUGACCUUUUAAACGGACUCACAAUGUUAAAUGGAAUAGACAAACCAAGUUGGUUGGACAUUUCAGACGGACAAAUCAAUCCAGUCAAGUCCUUAGGAUUUUUGACAUGUGUGGUUAACCACGCCUGAUGUCUGAACAUUGACCUAGUCGCUUGAUGUCUGAGCAUCGGACUAGACGCUAUUUACACCCAAAAGUCAAUAUCAAUUAAUUGUUACACACAAUCCUAGACAUUGGCAAACUAAAUGAACAGUUAGCUACACGGUCCGAGAUUUUGGCACAACAGUCAGCAAAUGGCACUAAUCAACAACCCUUACUUGAUGUGAUCGCCUAGUCCACACAGUAGUGACAACGUUGACAGUCUGCGCAAUCAUCAUUACAAGAUAAGGACGAUGUUAUUAACUCUAUAUAAAUCCCUCAAGAAGCACGAAUAAGGUACACACGCUCAUUCUCUCCCAUAAAAUAGUUAAAGUUAUCCUCAUUUGACUUAAGAUUCAAAGGGGUGUGCUUAGACCACCCGUCCAGACAUCUUUCUGUGUAGGAAAGAAGUCCGUCUGACUCCAGUAAAGUUGGACGAACUCCUCAACAAGUAUGAAUAAGGGAAGAAGUCCGCCUAACUCUAAUAAAACUGAACAAACUUGAAUCCAACUGGCUCGACAUCAACAAUUCUAGGUUGAUAGGUACACAUUGUUUAAAUUUCAAUGCAAUUGGCUUAUUAGGCUGUCUUGUCGAAUUAGAAUAUUUUCUAUUUGCUGUUGGUGUUCUUACUGCUGUCAUUCCAGCUUGUGAAGGAUUUGUGAUAGUUGGUUCUGCAUAGCAUCUAACUUGUCUAGGUUGUGCUCGGAUUUCCUUCCUCGUUUGCAAAUUCUCCAUUCAUGGCUUCUUUGCUCAUUCUGAGAUGCUAUUCUCAACAUCUUUUCCACAGACAAGGUCAUUGAAGUUGCAACGAUUAGUAAUAUCCUUUUAUUUAUUUAUUUAUUAUUAUUAUUAUUAUUAUUAUUAUUAUUAUUAUUAUUAUUAAUUUAGCUAUAUAAGUUUAAAAGAUUGCUAAAGAUGGUCCCCUCUUGCUUCAAGGUGUAGGCUUUAUAUGGCCUCUCCCUCUGUCACUCCUUUAGGCUUUUGGUUAUGCUUAUUGACUUUAAGGCGCAUGGGAUGAGAGUAGUUGAGCUCGACUUUUUAGGGAUAGAUCGGUUAGUCAAGUCAACCUGCAAGUCUCAGGUGGGUUGUCUUUCUUUCAGGUCCUUGGUUUGGAGUGAGGUGAUUUUGUGAACCCUCAAAGUCAAAGUCUCCUUUUUCCCUUUAGUUCUAAUUUUUUUUUCAUUAAAUAAGGAUUUACUUUUAUUUUUUAUUUUUGAAAAGAAACUGAACUAAACGUUACAUUAACCUUACUAUAACCCUAAAAUGUCUUGGUAAUUACGUGGCUAUCCAUGUUCAGAUUGGUUGGUUAUAUGGAACCACAACAGAAGACGUCCUCACAGGUAUGAGGAUACAUGCAAGAGGUUGGAAAUCCACAGAUUGCCGGCCUGACCCUCCUGCAUUUCUUGGGUGCGCACCCUCAGGCGGGCCUGCUGCACUUACCCAACAGAAGAGAUGGGCCACUGGCUUCCUUGAGAUCCUGUUCAGCAAGAACAGCCCAUUCAUUGCCUCCUUCACUGCAAAGCUCCAAUUUCGCCAAUGCCUUGCAUACGUGUGGCUUAUUUCAUGGGCUUUACGGUCAAUUCCCGAGCUGUGUUAUCUUGCUUUGCCAGCAUAUUGCAUCAUGGCCGGCUCACAUUUCUUGCCCAAGGUGAGAAACUAAAACCAUUCAGUUCUCCUCUUAAAUGCAUACAUAGCAUUAGUAGUAGUACUUCACCAACCUUUGUUUUAUCAUCAUUGACGCAGGUCCAAGAGCCAGCUGUGUUGAUACCAAUAUCCCUCUUUGUCAGUUACAAUUUUUACAAUCUAUUUGAAUACUAUGGAGCUGGGUUUUCAAUCCGAGCAUGCUGGAACAAUUUGAGGAUGGGGAGAAUAACCGCAGUGACUGCAUGGUUAUUUGGAUUUUUCAGUGUCAUUCUAAAGCUCCUGGGGUUGUCGGAGACCGUCUUUGAAGUUACAAAAAAGGACCAAUCUACUACUCCUGGUGAAGGCAGUGACAAUGAUGCUGGUCGAUUCACCUUUGAUGGGUCUCUGAUUUUUGUUCCGGCCACUACUCUUUUGUUGGUGCACCUGAUGGCACUUUUUACAGCCUUGUUAGGACUAUUUGAUCAUGUCGGGAUCGAAUCAAGAAUAGGGGAGAUAAUAUGUAGUGUGUGGGUGGUGCUAUGCUUCUCGCCGUUUCUUGAAGGCCUGUUUGGGAAAGGAAAAUAUGGGAUACCCACAUCCUCCAUAAGCAAGUCAGUAGCUUUGGCAUUGCUUUUUCUUGCUUGCACUACUACAGUAAGAAAAUGAUUUUAUUGAAAACCGUACUGUUUAUUAAGCAUAAUUGUUAAUCAAGUGUGUUAUGACAAGUAUCAUCCGGUUCAGUGUACGAACAAAUUUGUUGCAAUUAUAAUGGCAGUUUGCUUUUCACCAUUGCCGUAGCAGCAGCAGCUCCAUGAACUGAAAUGAAGAAAUGAUCACAAGCAGUUAAAACUAUCCAAAAGUUUAUACGGUUGAAAAUUGGCGUAAGGUUAAAUAGAAUAAAAAUAUUUGAAAAAGUGAGAUCAACCUUUUACUUUUUCAACCAAAAAAAUAUAUUAAAAUGCAUUUUAUUUGAUAUGAGUUUAAUUAAUAUAUUUUAAAAAAUAUAAUGACUAAAGAACCUUAUUUAACAUUUUCAUAAAUUUAAAAAGUAAGUAAUUUAACAAUAUUGUAUGGGUGGAAAUAAUACAUAUAUACCCUUGUUUAAUUGGACGUAUUUUCUCUUUUGCUUCUCUUUCUUCUUUGAAUUAGAUUAUUUAGUCAUUACUAUCAAAAUAAGAGUAAUUUCUCAUAUUUCAAAAGCCAAAAGGUAAAACAAAUUUCCUUUAUAAGUUUUUGUCAAACUUAGGUGGUAUUUAUUUUUUGGUUAAAUAAAAAAGGUCAAAAUAUUUAGGUUUUUUUAUUCGGUUAAAACUAUAUAUUGUUAAUUUGUUCAUAUUUAGCUGUUGUGAGUUUUUAAAAUUAGAAAUGAUGUGAGUGACAAAAAAAAAUCAUCAACAAGAUAUUUGAAUGCUCAUGAAUAACGGGGUGGGAGGGGAUGGGUGUGGUUCAUGGUGGUAACACCUAAGGUUGCCUCUUAGGACAUUUGAAUGCUUGCCCUUAAUUAUCUCUUUAUUUUUUGCAAUAUUUCAAGUUUUUCUCCAUUCUUAAUGCCCUUAAUUAUCUCUUUAUUUUUGCAAUAUUUCAAGUUUUUCUCCAUUCUUUUCAUCCUAAUUUCAUAUUUUAGUCAUUCCAUAAGUUUUUAUCAACUUUAGAUGCAUACACACCUAAGAAAACCAUUGAUUUUGAAACGGUUUGAGGUUAGCCUUAAAGUAGUCCGAAGUUAAAUAGAAGGUUAUAAGACGUAAAGAAAUAUGUCACAUCCAAUCAAUAAAAAAUAUAACAAAAUUGCCAACUAAAUCUAACAAAUCAACAAGCUCAUGUGGGAAGAAAUUAGUUCCCUCCUAUGAUAAAAAGGUCAAGUGUGUAGUUAAUCCUAUAAGGAUUUUUGAUAUUAUCUUUUAGAAAAGAAAUUUGGCUUUAAAAAUCACCGACAAGGAUUAAGAUCAAGUGGUAUCAGACUUGAUUUUUAACAAUUGAUAAAAAAGCUCAGGUGUGUAGUUAAUCCUAUAUAUAUGUAUGUAUAGAGAGAUAGAAAUCAACCUCCUUGUGCAAUUGCAGUUGCCAUAGUUAUUGUCGUGUAAUGAAUAUUGUUUCAUGUGGUUCAUCUUUGAAACCCUACAAUCACUACCCUGCAAAAUGUGAAAUGAUAUUCUAUUUUGGUAAUGCUUUAUCUAAGCAUGAUAAUAAUUGACUUGGAGUAAAACAUGUAAAAACAUUUUCCUAUUUGAUUUAGGUUGAGGGUUAGUAGACACAUCCAUUGUUCCUCUCUUCACACCUAGCUACUUUAUUGAGAAAAAUAAAAAAGAAAGAGCAAGUGUAGGGAGAGAGAAAAAUAAAUGUAUUUAACAUCAUCCCAAGUCAUUAAUAUAUAUAAUUGAUAAAAAAAAAUUGAAUUACCUUCAAAGAUACCCAAGAAUCCUAAUUUGAUUGCUUCAUUGACAAGUUUUUUGUGCCAAGUUAUGGAUGAAAUAAGAUAUAAAAAUAAUUUAUUGACUUAGGAUAUAUAUAUUUUUUUCUUUCACUUUUUUUUUUCUUCUAUUUUUCCUCUUUAUUUUCUUUUCCUCUCAGUUUUCCUCAAAUUUUUGUGAGAGCCAAACAUGGCAUUAAUAUUUUGAUACCUUAGACCUUGAAUUUUAGGCACUAGUGACUUUCAUGGUAAAAAGGAGACAAAGAAAAUUUAGGCAACAAUACUAACUUAGAAAUAUAUGUGCCCAAAAACAUUUCUUCUUAAGGCCAAUGUUUUAUUUGUGGAGUCUCUUGCCCUUUCUCUAGCUUGAUGAUCAGAGGUUUUGUGGUCGAUGGGGGCAGGAGGUCUCACCUUGAAUUGUGUGAUUGCAAAGACUGAUUAAUUGAGCCAAAUCCAAGGAAAGAGAGAGAGCCAAAAAAAGAAUCAUAGUAUUAAGCCAAAACAUUGAACUAAAAGAAAGUUUUAGAAUGCAAUAACUUCAUAUUUGUGUUACAAACCGGGCUCGGUUUGAUUGUUGAGAAAAUGGGAGGAAAACACAGGAAAGACAGUUUUGAAUCCUAUGUUGUCAAUAUUAACAGGGUUGUAGGCUCCAAUUGGCAGUUUAGACAAUCUAGGAGACAAAAGAAAAGCAUGUUCAAAUCUAUGUGGUACCUGUUUUCUCUAUUUUAUUUUAUUUUUUUAAAAUAGUAACUUUUAUAAAAGAUAUAAUAAUUCUUAAAGGUUUAUGGAAAGCAAUGAUUUUAAAAAGUCUAAAAAAAAUUGAAAUAUAAAAUCUUUUUAUGACCUUAAAUUUAAAAAUUCUUAAAAGUGAUUUUUAACUAUAUAAAUUAAAUACAUAUUUUUUAUACAAAAUAUUAUAGGUGACAAAGUUUGAUACGAUUCAUUAAUACAAUACGAACCCAACAGAUUUUUCAUUGGUUUGGAUCAAAUUUGAAUUGAUUUGUUAAACCCAUUUAAUAAAUAGGUAAUUUUUGGAUUAACUUGCAUAAUAUGAAUUUGUUCCAUUUAAUAAUCUUGCUAUUAAUUUAAUAAUAUUUUAAAACUAUUUAGCUUAUAUUUGAUUUAUUUUAAAUAAAUAGAUCAAUUGAGUCAUAAAUAUAUUUGAUUGAAAUAUUAAUCAUAUAGACAUAUAGAUAACUUAACUCAAUCUAAUUAUUAAAUAGGUUAAAUGGGUUGUUAAACUUGUUACCUAUUUAAUUAUUAGGUAGUAUUUAAGUUUAUGUUUUUAAUAUGAUUAUUAUUUAUAUCGAGUUUGGGUUGAGUUAUAUAUUAAAAUACUUAAGUUUUGACACGAUAUGAACAUGACCCACCAACACAAAUUACCACCCCCUACAAAAUAUUUUACUUUUAUAUAUAAAAGUUUUUAGGACUUUAAAAUAAUAAAAUAUAAAAUUUAUCCAAACUAAUACCAAAAUUUUCAUGCAAGCGAAAAUAAAAUGAUCUAAUCAACCAUUACUAAGACAACUAUUUGGUAGAACAAAAUCAACAAACACAUAGUUAUUUCCAUUCUUGUUUUUAAGCAACUAAAAAGCAAACAAUUUUUAACAUAUUUUUGAAAAAAAAAAAAAAAAACUAAAGCCAAAUAAUCCGUUAAGUUAAAGAAUAGGAAAAAAAGAAAGAAAAUUUAAAAAUUCUGGAAUUGCACUAUAUUUUGCCUCUAGAAGGUAAUUAAAACAAAAGACCAAUGUUAAUAGAUUUGUUUAAAAAAAAAAAUAAAGAAGAAGAAAACACUAAAACCAAAUCUUCCCGUAUGGUUAGAAUAGAGAAAAUGGAAGAAAAUUUAAAAUUUGGAAUUGCAGAGACAACUUCAACAAAUUUAUAAAAUAUAGGAAACACUAAAACGAAAUAUUCCAUUUGGUUAGUGAAUGAAGGAAAAUAAAGAAAAUUUAAAAAUCUGGAUUUAACAGAGGUGAGUUUUUUGGUUCUUUAAUUUAUAUUAUAUUAUUAUUAAGGAAUAUUUGGUUAAAAUGGGCAAAAGAAGCCCUCAUAAUUAACCAUUUUUAUACCAAAUUACCCUCAAACCAUCACCUAUUAAUACAACAACAUUAUUUCAUUCCAAAUUCAAAGCAAUGCCUAUUGUACCUUCUUAAAAUUCAGUUAAAUGUCAAUGGACACAUACAUUAAUACAUCCAGACACUUCUCAUCGAUUUUCAUAACCCUACCAUACAAAAAUGGGAUAUAUAUUUAAAAUGGAUGUCAAAGAAGGGUUAAAGUCAAAUAAUAUUUUUCACAAUAUACAUGCUAUAUAUAGAAAUGCGGUAUAAUUAAUUCUUGACAUCUGGUAGGCAAAGAAUAUUUCAAAAAACUUCAAAACAAAUAUGUAUGAAAUAAAGAGAUCCCAACAUCCCAAGUAAAUAAUUGUUAUAAUGGAUGCAAAUUUUGGACUAUUAGUUAAUAUCAACAAUGGGUUUAAAAAAGUAUCUAAAAAUAUCAAAUUUAAAUAUUUGUACCUGUGGUAUACGAGAUGUUGCUUAGUCAAUUAGUUAUGAAAUAACAUUAACUCUAUGCGUAUUAUCAAUAUCUCUACAUGCGAUUCAUUGAGACAUAAACUUUUCCCUUGUUUUUUUUGAGAAGAUAUGAGAAACAUACUCAAUAUCAUUUGAUUGAAUAGUUGACCUAACUCCUUAUUGGUUGAAAAAACCCUUCACUUUAAUUAAUACUUUUUAGGGAUUCAAUUUGGAAGGAGCAAGGUCGGGCAUAAGUUAAAUGUUAGAAGGAUUAAAAUCAAUGGGUGCUGGAGCUGCUACAAUUGCUUUAGCCACAACUUUUCCCACCCAUGCUGACUUUAUUAAGGUAAUCCAAAAGAGUUUAGAAGUCAUCUCUAAACCAUAAAAAGAUAAAAUCAAUCAAUUGAUAUUGAUUUUGAUAGCUAACUAAAUUUUGGAUUGUUUGAUCAAGUAAGGGAAACAUGAUAGAAUUCAUAACUGUCUUGAUGUUAUGUUUUUUUCUUUUUAAUUUAAUUCAAAUCUUUUUUUUCACUAUAUGUAAUUUAUACCUAGCUUCUUUUUUAAGUUUAAGCUCUCUCAAGGGACAAAAUUAGUUGCAAGAGUUUCUUUCAUUUUUUUUUUCUUCUUUAAUAAUGUCAAAUCCUCCAUUUGAGUUCUUUCAUGUUUUUUUUUUCCUUUUUCAAGAUUGUUACAUGUUCCAUUUUUUUUUAAAAAAUUUCGUUGAGGUUUUUUGUAGUUAUUUUUUAUUGCAAUUUUUUUUUAUUUACAUUUGUUUUUUAGUUGGGUUUUUUUUCGUAGCUUUUUAUUUUUUGCAUUAUUUUUUUUUGUUAGGGUUUGUAGUUGUUUCUGUUGGGGUUUUUCUAGUGUUGUUUUUUAUUAGAGUUUUCUAUAUAUAUAUAUAUUGUGAUUUUUUACAAUUUCAUUUAAACUUCUAAGAUGUUUUUGGCUAGAGGUUUUUAUAGUUGUUUUUUUGCAUUUAUUUUUUGUUGGCGAUUUUGUUUUUGUUUUUUGUUAGGAUUUUGGCAGGAGUUUUUUUGUAGUUUUUUUUAAUUUUUUUUAUGGGGUUUUUCUUGUAGUUGAGUUUUUAUUAGGUUUUGAACAUGAGAUCAAAUAAAUGAAUAUUCUAAUUAAGAUUUAUUGAUAAAAUGAAAAUUAAUGUUAUUUAAGUUCUUUUUAAAUGAAACUUAAUCGUAGUACAAUUUAGGUUAUAAUAAUCAAUUAGUUCUUUGUAGAUGAAAGGGAAACUUAACCUUAAUUAAGUUCUUUCUAAAUGAAACUUAACUAUAGUAUAAUUUAGAUUAUCAUUAUAAUAGAGAACUAACCUUAUUUAGGUUUUUUUGUAGACUUAAUUAUGUUGUAGUUCAAUUGAACACCCUCAAUGAAAAAUUUAUCUUCGUAAGAAAAGCAAACUAAAAAGAUAAAUAUAUUAAAAAAAAUGAUGAAAUGCAUAAAGUAAAAACAAAAAGUGGGAAGGUGAUGUUUUUGGAGCAGUGUAGUUCAGAUGAACACUUUGAACAAAAAUGAAAACAAGUUGUUUAAGAGAUAAAACAAUAGAUAGAGCAUUAUGAGAGGAGAAAGAAUUUUCUCAAAGUGUCAUGAAGGGAAAUAAAAAUAAACAAAUUUAAAACAUAAUAGAUGGCAACAAGUACUAUUGUUGGUUGGAUGAAUUGUAACAGGUAAAGGAACAGUGGCUUGCCCAUCUCUACAACUCCUUGAUCAGAGGCUAUCUCAACUUUGUGGAGCCUCACAAGACUCUUUUAAUCUUCACCCACAUGCUUGCCCAUCAAGCUCGACCUAACAACCUCACCUUCCCUUCUAUCAUAAAGAAAGCUGCCUCUUGCUUACCCUCUUUAGCUUUCAUGAUAGGCACACCCCUUCACACCCAUGUCAUCAAGCGCGGGUUAUGGCAUGAUCUAUUUAUACAGACGUCAUUGGUUGUGUUGUAUGCCCGACUUUGCAAGGUUUCUGAUGCUUGUCCUGUGUUUGAGGAAAUUUCCAGACCAUGUGUUGUGUCUUCCAAUGCAAUGCUUGAUGCCCUAGGCAAGAAUGGGGAUAUGGGGUCCGCUCUUUCUCUUUGAGAGCAUGCCUGAAAGAGAUGUGGUUUCAUGGACUAGUAUCAUUAAUGGUUUUGGGAGGAAUAGGUGCUUUGAGGAGGCAAUUCAGUUUUUUGUGAAGAUGAUGGGGCAUGAGGAUGUGAGAAGUUGUUUAGUAAAACCAAAUGAAGCUACAUUUGUUAGUGUUCUGUCUUCAUGUACUAAUUUAGAUGGGGUUGGAGCUUUGCAUCAGGGAAAACAAAUACAUGGGUAUAUUAUUAGGAAUGAGGUUGAAUUUACUGUGUUUAUGGGUACAGCAUUGAUAGCUCUUUAUGGGAAGACGGGGUGUUUGGAAAAUGUGAUGAAAAUUUUUAAUGGAAUGGUGGUUAAAGGGGUCUGCACUUGGAAUGCAAUGAUUUCUUCGCUGGCUUGUAAUGGCAGAGAGAAGCAGGCCUUGGACUUGUUUGAGAAGAUGAAGAUGAAAGGGCUGUGCCCAGAUGAAGUUACCUUUGUUGCUGUUAUUACUGCUUGUGCUCGUUCCAAAUUUGUGGUGUUAGGUUUGGGAUUUUUCCAGUCAAUGAGGUGCGACUUUGGGGUUGUUCCAAGGAUGAUGCACUAUGGAUGCGUGGUUGAUCUUUUGGGCAGGGCUGGGCUAUUGGAGGAGGCAACUGAGUUUAUCAAAAGCAUGCCUUUUGAGCCUGAUGCCACUGUUCUGGGGGCUCUUUUGGGUGCUUGUAAGGUUCAUGGAGCCAUUGAGUUGGGAAAUGAAGUGGGUAGAAGGCUGUUGGAAUUCCAGCCGCAUCAUUGUGGUCGAUAUGUGACAUUGUCAAAUAUUUAUGCAGGGGGAGAGAUAUGGGGCCAUGCUGCUGAUUGGAGGAAAGCAAUGACAGAGGCUGGAAUUAGUAAAAUUCCAGCCUAUAGUAUGAUUGAUGUGAUGUAAACAUUUAGUGCCAGUCUCUUCCCCAACUUCGGGCAUUUCAGGAAGCAUUAAGUCUCAGUUCUAGAGCAUUAAGACAACAAUUUGGCUUGAGAAAAUUCGGAGAUGGACUAUAAAGAGAUUUUGAUCAAAGAUGCUUCAAUUUCAUGGUUGUGUAGUGUCUGAUUCUUGUUAAGGGGGGAAACGAACUGAAGUGCUAGCAAGAAGGAUGAGCUCAAGAUGACUUAUUAUGUGCUAGUGAAGUUGCAGGCUUUCAUCAACUUUAGUCCACUUGAUGAUUGAUGGCAAUUAGGUGACCCUUAUUACCAUUCCUUUGAUGGCAUUCAGCCUGCUAUUUCAGCUACUUUAGUAGUUAUAAAAAUCUUAAUCAUUUGAUAUUUUGAUAAUCAAGAUCAAUCCACUGUUGUGCACUAGUCAAUUUGAAUUUGAUUAUCCCUUUGCUUGCAUCACAGUAAUUUUCAAAUGGAAAGCAUACAAUCCAACAUUUAGUUAGUUCCAUUGCCCCAAAGAGAUAUUCUAUAAAUUUGAUUUUCAUCACCUGUUAAAGUCUCAACUAUUAAUUUAAUUUAGCUAUUGGGAGCAUCUUCUCAGCAUAGUUAGAGUUUACUAGUUUAGUUGAAAAGAGUGGUAUGAUGAUGAAUUGGUGAUCAAACCCUAAUAUGACAGUUGACUAUCCGGCUAACAAGCUAGUUUGCUAUGUAUCUGAUGACGGCUGUUCGCCUCUCAGCUUCUAGGCUCUCCUUGAAGCAUUAAUGAAUUUUGCUAAGCUUUCGGUUCCUUUCUGAAAGAAGUAUGGUAUUCGCACUAGAGCUAGUGCGCUAUUCUGGUGAGCUUCAAUCAUUCAGUGAUAAUUCAGUGGAGUUUCUACAAGAAUAGAGAAAGAUGAAAGUGAUUGAAAGUCGGAACAAUUUUUUAUCUUUUCUACUUUUGAUUCCAAUUGGUAAAAUGCAGAUGAUUCUGCACUAAGAAUUUUCUUUUCCUUUAAUAUUUUGAGACCUCAGACCUUGAAUUUCAGUCACCAGUGACUUUCACGGGAAAAAACAUUUCUUCUCGGCUUUAAAAGCAUACAAUUAUAAGGUUAAUGUUUGUUUUAUUUGUGGACCCUUUCUCUAGGUUGAUCGUCAGAGGUUCCGUGGCCGAUAGCCGCCGGAGUUCUCACCUUGAAUUAUGUGAUUGCAGAGUCUGAUUCAUCGAGCCAAAUCUAAGGACAUACCAAAACAUUGGACUAAAAGAAAGUUUUAGAAUGUAAGAACUUUAUUUUUUUGUGUUACAAACUGGACUCAUUUGGUUGCUGAGAAAAUGGGAGGAAAACACGUGUGAGAUUGAAUCUUGUUAGAGUUUGUCGACCCAAAAAGCUUGCAAUGUGAAUUAUAAUUAUGAGAUUUUUUGGAGUGUAUUUUUUAGGGUUAUGAUGAUUAUGCUUCUAUUGUAGUUGUUCGCAUCUCUUCCUUCUUGUAUCAAUCUUUUGAUAUGGUGGAUUUCCUUCUCCUUUAUCCAUAGGUUUUCUCGUUUAGAGUUUUUCACGUAAAUUUGUAUGUUCUUAUUCUAUUUUUUUAUUACCUAUUUUUGUUAUUAUGUAACAAAUCCUAUGCUAUAAAUAUUAAGAGUUGUAUGCUCCAAUUUGCAGCUGAGAUAAUGUAGGAAACAAAAGAAAAGCAUGUUCAAAUGUAAGCAUGCAUAUAACUCCUGUUUUUUGUUUUUCAAAAUAAAAAAUAGUAAUUUUUAUAAAAGAUAUAAUAAUUCUUAAAGGCUUAUAAGAAAGCAUAAGCCACGGUUCUUUCCACUUUCUUUUUUUUUUUUUUUUUUUUUUUUUUUUAAAGCAACUCGAAGUCUAGAAACCAAGGUACCUGCAAAACAUUUCCAAGAAAGAGUAAAAAACAAUUUUUAGCAUAACUAUGAAAAAAAAAAAAAAAAACCAAAUAUUCCGUGUGGUUAAUGAAUAGGGGAAAAGGAAGGAAAUUUGAAAAUUUGAUUUAAAAUUCUGGAAUUGCAAAAUAUUUUGCUUUUAAAAGAAAAAACAAAAGAAUAAUAGAUUUGUAAAAAAUAAAAAUAAAAAGAAAACACUAAAACCAAAUCUUCACUAUGGUUAGUGAAUAGAGAAAAAGGAAGAAAAUUUAAGAUUAUGUUUAAUAAUUUUUUGGAAUAUAGUUCUAAAAAAUAGCUUUUGAAAAAUUUUCCCUAUUGAUUUGGAGAAUAAAAAUUUAUUUGAGAAUAUGAAAUUUUAGCCCUUUUUUUAAAUUUUAAUUAUUAAAUGUAUUUUUUAUUUUUAUUUUUAAUUUUGAAGAACAAAAAACUGUUUUAAAUAUGCCAUCAAAUUUGGUGGUUGAUGGCUGAAAAAAAUUUAAAAUAAUAAUAAUAAUAAAUUUCAUCCACACAUAAGCAAUUUGUAAUUAGUCCAAAUGGUAAGUCAUGACAUUGACUAUCAGGUAAUUAUGAUCUUAUUAAGCUAUUAUAUUAUAUGAUCUCUCAACCUUGAAAUGAGACUAAGUUUGUUUUAAAGUAUGUAGUGACUUUGAUCUACGAGUUAUAUUCUAGUUGGUCAUAUAUUCCCUAUGAAUUAAGUUAUUAUUAAUGGUGGUUGGUGACAAUAGGUAUUCUCAAUAUAGGUACCAUGAUAUCUCAUGAGAUUGAAACAAUGUGUCCUAUUAGGUGAUCCUAAGGACAUGCAUUCAAGAAAUCUAUGGUUGUAGUAGUUAUAUGGUUGAAACUUGACAUAUUCUCUUUGUGAGUUAGAGUAUGUCAAUUGAUUAUACAGUCUAAGGACUUGAGACUAAGGAUUGUAAACGUAAUCUUGAAAGGUUGAUAACAUUCAUCUUAUUAGAUUAUAUGCACCAGUUCAUGAGAAGACUAUAGAUAGUAGGUCAUAGACUUGGGCACUUGUAUUAUAUUGUAAUAUACACAAGAUACAAGAGUGUAGUUGACCUUCUAUUGUGGGACGUUGAGUUAACUUCCGAAUUAGAUUUUGAGGGAGCUAGUAUUUGUUUAUGGAUCUCAGUAGUCUCUACUUGAACUUAUAUUUCUUGAUGACAUAAUUUAUGAGGGUUAGUUGAAAUUUUUAUUCACAUGUGUGUAUAAAAGCAUUUUGGUAAAUACACAAUGUUGCACAAUAACUUGUGAAUGGUCUCUUUAGACUGAGCUAAUUGAUUAAUUGAAGCUUAAUAUUAAUUAAUCAAUUAGAACCUAAGUAUGUUAGUUUAAGUGACACAUUAAUAUGUACUUGACUAUAUGAGCAAAAAAAGCUCCAAUAGUCAAGUCACUUAAGUCUUAAUAGAAGUUCAUAUAAACCUUUUUGGGUGGUAGGGCUUCCUUUUUGUUUUCUUAUUCACUCCAAAGAGUUGAGAGCUCUAGACAUAAAUCCUUUGAGAGGAUUCCAUCCCUUAGUGCUUAGAUUCAAGGAGAAAAAAACAUUGUGGUGGAAGAUCUUUAGGUUUGUGAAGUCUACCAUGAUUUCAACACUUCUUCACCUAUUGGAUCUAAUAUGAGAAUAUCUAAAUCUAAGGUAACACACUAAUCUUCUUGAUCCAAAAGUUUUAAAUGUCCACUUACUUUUGUUGCUAGGAUCUAGAGAGCAGGAAGAUUUGCAUGAAACCUAACGGUUUAAGGAUAGGGAAUUAAUGGAGUGAUCUAAGCAUGGCUACAACAACAAAACUCAAAUAGAACACUACAACAAGGAGAACAAGACUGUAAAACUGCCACUGUUGCUGAUGGGAUGAACUGCAAUAAACAGAGGAGUAGAGUGGCUUGGAUGUAGUCAGAUGUAAAACACAAUGAUGGGUGGUCUAAAGCAUGGGACCAGUGGGCAAUGGAGUAGAGGAUGGAACAAUUUUUUCUAUCUUAGAUUCUGAGGAUUGGGGUGGGGAGGAUGGGCUUGGAGGCUUUUAUAGGGAGAGUUUUAAUGAGACUCCUAUAAAAGCUAAAUGUCUAAAACUAAUUUACUUAAAUUAAUUAAUUUAAAUAACACGUUUUCAUCUACUCAUUCCACUCCACUAACAUGUUCUUGAGACUUGGUUCAAGACUCUUAACAUUCUUAAGAUUUGGUUUGAGACUCCAACUGAGGAGAACCUAGUAAAAAACUUACAAAAAGAAUUAAUUUUAACUUCGUAAAAGGAAGUUGGAAUUGGGAAUGUAUGCGGGAAGUUGGAUAGACAACACUUAUUAAGGUUUUCCGAAUUCGACUACCUAAGAUUCUACUGGAUGGACUUGGGCCCCUUGGACAUGCAAAGCUUCUACUUCCUUUUCCACAAGUUCAAGAGGCUUAAAAAGCUGUACUCCUACUUCAGUAUAGGAUUGUUCACGUUAGCUUAUGCACUCCUAUAUAUACACCCACAUGUACUUUUCGAACACUUUUUUCUCCUUAAAAUUAAUUAGAAUAUUUUGUAUAAAAAGUAUAGAUUCACCUUAUCUACUUAAAAUUUUCAAAAAUUUUCAAAAUUUGAGGUAGUAAAUAUUUUUAGAUAUUUCUUUUUUUUUUCGCACGGUUUUUAAAAUCAUUGUUUUUUUUAAUGUAAGUCUCAAAGAACUCUUAUAUUUUAUGUAAAAAUUACUAUUAUUUUUUAUUUUAAAAAUAAAAAACAAGAAGUAUAUCCAAAUGGAUACUAAAUUUAAUAUUGACUUUUAUUAAAUAUGAAGUGAUGAUUUUCACUAUUUUUACUUUCAAAGGAUCUAUUCAGUAGUGAUUGUGUUAAAAAGGUUUUUAGUUUGUAGUGAUUUUAUUAGUAAAACUUGUAUAAAAAAAAAAUACUAUUAGGGAAACUUAAAGUCUAUUUGAGAACUGUUUUUAAAAAUAAAGAAUUGUUUUUCAAACUUGAAAACACAUUUGAUAAUUUUUGACAAAAAAUGGUCUUUUGAAAACAUGUUAUGAAAAAAAGGUGUUUUUUGAAAACAUAUUUUAAUUAUUUUAAGUUGUUUUAACUUAUUUUCUCGAGAUUAUUUUUAAAAAAGAAUUAUACAAAUAUGAAGAAUAAUUUUUUUUAAUAAAAUAUUUGGAAACAUAAAAAACACUAUCAGAAUAUUCUAAGUUUCUAGAUAGACUUUUGUUUAAAAUAACAUCAAAGCCUAGUUUCGAAAACCAUUCUCAAAAAUGGUUUUUGAAAAUUAUUUUUGAAAACAUUCAUCUUUAGUAUCUGAAAAUAAACGAAAAAAAAGUCUUCAAUGGUAUUUGGCAAUUUAUAUAAUAAAAAGUGAUUUUUAGAAGAAACAUCAAUUAAGUCUUCUCUAGAUUUUUAACUGAAAAUAAUCUUUUAAACUUAGUCAAACACUUAUUUUUAGAAAGGAAAUUACGUCUACUUGAUCCAUACGAGUCACUCCCAAACAAACUUCAAGUUAUUUUGCACUUCAAAUAAUACUAUUGAGUCGUUGUGUUACCACAGGACCUUCAAACAUAUAACAUUAUCAGAAAUAUUAUUUUUUCAGUGGUAGAGAGAAAUCUCCCAAACCAUGCAGUGUAUGUUGAAUAAAAUCCAUGUGCAUAAGACAAGACACAAUUAUAUUGUAGUAGUAAUAAUAGUAAUAUUCUUGUGUAGGGGUCAUAUGCGUUCAAUGAAAAAAAUCAAAAGGAAAAUCGCUUGAAGGAAAGAAUAAGUCCUGAAUUUCAUAUAUGCAGCCGACUCAGAGUGCAUGAAAAAUAUAUAACUAUCUAUAUUAAAAACUGGUUUUCAGAUUUCAUAAAGUUGGUUCCGAAAACCAUAUAUUUCCCAAAUGGCCUCAUCAAAACACAAGUUUCCCAAUAAUCUUUUAAACUUAGUCAAACACUAAUUUUUAAAAAGGAAAUUACGUCUACUUGAUCUAUCCGAGUCACUCCCAAACAAACUUUUAAGUUAUUUUGCACUUCAAAUAAUACUAUUGAGUCGUUGUGUUACCACAGGACCUUCAACUAUAUAACAUUAGCAGAAACAUUAUUUUUUCAGUGGUAGAGAGAAAUCUCCCAAACCAUGCAGUGUAUGUUGAAUAAAAUCCAUGUGCAUAAGACAAGACACAAUUAUAUUUUUUCAGUAAUAAUAGUAAUAUUCAUUGAAUAAUAGUAAUAUUCAAUGAAAAAAAUCAAGGAAAACCGAUUGAUGGGGUUGCCUUCCAAGAAGUGGCUAGUUUGAAGGAAAGAAUAAGCCCUGAAUUUCAUAUAUCAUACACAUAGCAGCCCAUGUGACCUUCAAAUAUAUGAAGUUAAUAGUAGUAUUAAUUAUCAUAUUUUGUCGACUGUCCCCAGAAAACUCCAAAUGGCAUGCGGUUAAUACACGUGAUGGGGCACAAAUAAUGAAUACGUGUUGAAUAAAUUCUUGUAAUCAGACAAAACAUUUAUAUUGUAGCAGUAAUAUAUGUGUAGGCGAUACUUGUAUGUCCAAUGAGAAAAAAGUCAAGAAACAAGAGGAGAAACUACUGUUAGGUUUGCUUUGCAAGGAAUGGCCAGCGCAACUAUUAAGUCCAAUAACAUCUCCACAAACUACAUACACCAUCUGUCCAACAAGUAUCCUCCUCCAUUUUCCAAUGGCCAAACCAAUCUCCUCACCUCUCCAUGAAAAAUUUCCCCAGAAAAACACAUUCCAUAGAGCCUUGGACCUCACCAUCUUCUUCCUUCUUCUCUCUCUCCUUGCUUAUCGUCUCCUUUCCCUCAAAAACAAUGGCUUCACUUGGCUCCUCGCCUUCCUCUGUGAGUCAUGGUUCACCUUUAUUUGGAUUCUUAACGUCAGCACCAAAUGGAACCCUGUGUCCUACAAAACAUACCCUGAACGUCUUCUACAAUGUUAUCGGUAUCCAAUAAUGCUCUUAGUAAAACUCUUCAUGUGCUUUGGUGUUUUUUUCUGCCUUCAAAUUUUAUAUAUGACUAUACUUAUGAUCUUCUGAACAGAGUUGAUGAGCUUCCUCCAGUGGACAUGUUUGUGACAACUGCAGACCCCAUGCUGGAACCCCCUAUCAUCACUGUAAACACUGUCCUCUCCUUGCUGGCAGUUGACUAUCCAGCUAACAAGCUUUCUUGCUAUGUGUCCGAUGAUGGGGCUUCCCCUCUCACCUUCUACGCUCUCCUUGAAGCAUCCAAGUUUGCUAAGCUUUGGGUUCCUUUCUGUAAGAAGUAUGGUAUUCAAACUAGAGCUCCCUUUAGAUACUUCUCCAGAGAGUUGUUACCAUCCCAUGAUAAUUCAACGGAGUUCCUACAAGAAUACAGAAAGAUAAUGGUACGCGCACUAUUCUUAGUAGGAACCAUAAGUGGUCCUUAAUUAUUUUAGUUCAACUUAGUGCAAUUAUUUAUUUAUUUAAUAACAAUGAUUAGAAUGCAGAUGAUCCUGAAUCUAGAAUUUUCUUCUCCUUUAAUUUAUUGACUAUCAUUAUUUUUUUUAUUUAUCCUUUUUAUAUAUAAAAUCUCCUUUAAAGAAACAAAAAAAAAAAAAAAAUCCACUAUCAAGCAAGUUCGUGUCCAAUUUUCUUUUUCUUCAUCCCUCUGUAGGACGAAUAUGAAGAGCUUAGACGAAGAAUUGAACACGCAACCCUGAAGUCAAUUUCACAUGAGCUUAGUACUGCAGAUUUUGUCGCUUUCUCAAAUAUAAAAAAGGGAAGCCAUCCAACUAUAAUCAAGGUAUGUUUAAAGAUAUAACUAGCUGAUUUGUUUACUUAUUGUUACCAUUAUUAGGUCUAUUUGGAUUGAUUUCUAAAAAAAAAAAAUUUUAAGUUCAAUAAAAGAUUUUAUUUCUGAUUAAUUUUAUACUUAUGGUUUAAGAAAAAGGUUAAUAUAAAAGUCAUGAAAAUCUUAUUUCUUAUAAAACCUUUAUUUUAGUUUACACAAAAAGUUAUUUUAUGUUUAAUACAAACCUUAUGAUAUCAAUAUUACUUUUUAAAAAUUAUAACUUUAGCUUCAAACUUAUUUUGUAGGUAGAGAUAAAAAGAAACAAACAAUCUCGAAUGGGGAAUGGGUCGCAAUCAAUAUAGAACAAAGGACCAUUUAAAGCUAAUCAUAGGAGAUUAGAAUGAUGGUAUAAAGUAAUUGUUUUUGUCAUUUUCUAUAUUAUAAAAAAUUAAUAAAAAGAUAAAAAGAAACAAACAAUCUCGAACAUAUUGUAAUCGAUAUAGAACAAAGGACCACUUAAAGCUAAUCAUAGGAGAUUAGAAUGAUAGUAUAAAGUUAUUUGUUUUUGUCCUUUUCUAUAUUAUAUAUAAAAAAACUUUCUUUAAUUAAUAAAAAAUAGUCAUGCAAUUUUAAAAAAGUUUUAUUUCUUUGUAUUUUGAUUUAUACUCUAUUUCUUCGUACUUGUACUUUAUUGUAUUUAAAAUAUAUUUCUUUAUAUUUAUGUUCAAUGGUAUGGUUAGAUUAAAAGUUCAAUACGAUACUAAAUUCAACAAGCUUGCCAUGAGCUUUAUUUAAGCUAUAACUAUUCGGUUGCGACAUGAGAGAGCUAGGGAGUUGUGGUGAAGGAAGUAUUUGACAACAUUUCUAUAACCACGGAUGUGACUUUGUAGGUUAUAUUGGAGAACAAGGAGAGCCGCUCUGAUGGACUGCCACAUCUAGUCUAUGUAUCCAGGGAGAAGGAUCCCAAGCAUCCACACCAUUACAAAGCCGGUGCCAUGAAUGUUCUGGUAAGGAAGCUCCCUUGAAUUAAUAUAACUACUGAUCUCCUUCUUUUUCUGAUUGUUUCUUGAUAAACAGACCAGAGUCUCUGGAGCUAUGACAAAUGCUCCUUUCAUGCUGAACGUAGACUGUGAUAUGUACGCCAACAAUCCACAGAUUUUUCAUCAUGCAAUGUGUUUGCUCCUCGGUUCCAAGAAUGAACAGGACUGCGGGUUUGUUCAGUCUCCACAAUGCUUCUAUGAUGGACUAAAGGACGACCCAUUUGGAAAUCAGCUAGUAGUUUUGUAUAAGGUAUGCCAAAUUUCAAUAGCGAAGAGUGAUCUCUUCCAUACUAUAGAGCACACGUAGUAGAAGCCUCUUUUAUUUUAUUUUUUCAUUAAUUGAUAUGUUUGUUGAAUCAGUAUCUGGGAAGUGGGAUAGCAGGGCUUCAAGGACCUACGUACAUUGGAACGGGAUGUUUUCAUAGAAGAAAAGUUAUCUAUGGGUUAUGGCCAGAUGGCAGGAUGGAGAUCAAAGGAAGAAGUGGUAUGCAGUCAAUUUAUUUGUCUUAUGUAUCAUUCUAAUUUUCUUAGGGGGAUCUUAAAAUGUUAUAUGAAACUAAGCAUUACAAUUUUCUACUUCUUGGUAGGAAAAUUAACUGAUGAGAGAAUACAAAAAACAUUCGGAAAUUCAAAGGAAUUCACCAAAACAGCUGCAAGGAUCUUAUCCGGGUUGAGCGGGAUUUCGCAUUGUCCAUAUGAUCUUUUGAAUCGGGUUGAGGCAGCACAAGAAGUUGCAACUUGCAGCUACGAGUAUGGAACUAGCUGGGGUACAAAGGUGAGCUGCAAAUAUUUAGAACAACAAGAAUAGCACGUACCUCAAAUGAAAUCUAAAGUUGCAAUGAUUAGCACUUCCCUGCUACUUGAUUAAUUUAGCUGUAAGUUUACAAGAUUGCUAAAGAUGAUCCCCUCUUGCUUCAUGGCAUAGGCUUUAUAUAGCCUCUCCCUCUGUCACUGCUUCAGGCUUUGGUUCUGCUUUAUGGACUUUAAGACGCAUGGUGAUAAAGAGUCGUUGAGCUCAACUUUUUAGGGGCAGGUUGGUUAGUUAGGUCAACCUACAGGUCCGAGGUGGGUUGUCUUUCUUUUUGGUCCUUGCUUUGGGGUGAGGUGAUUUUGUGCACCUUCAAUAUCCCCCUUCCCCCCUCCCAGCCUUGAGUUUUUCUUUCUUGGAAGAGGUUAGAGCCUUUUCUUUUUGGGUUGUGUGCUAAUGAUGUUUAGGCAGUGCUAGUGCAAUUUUCAAUGGCGGUAUACCCAUUUUGGUUUCCUCCGUUUUGAGGCAGUUUCUUCCACUAAUCUCAUGUUUGAUGGUUGAGAUUUGUCCACGUGCCGCAUCCUUAGCCUUUCCUCAAUUGAGGGUUUUCUCUUUCAAAUCCCACGCUAAUUAUUAUUUCUUCCUUCAAUAGUCGAUAAGUAUUAUAUCUCCCAUUUUCUUUCUUCAUUUAUGGUUUUCUUCUUCUUCUUCUUAUAUAUUUUCCUGUUCCAGCCAUGUUGAAGAAAAAAAAAAGGAUGAAUGCCUCUGGGUCGAUUGAAUAGUUUCAUGCUAAGUUUAAUAUCCAACUGUUAGUGGGACUUUGCUUCAUGGAUGAUGGGGAUGUAAUCCUGGCCAAAGGGAGUCUAGUUGAAGGUGAGAUGUUCUUGCCCAAAAGCUACUUCGAGGCUGGGUUUUGACUUCCACUUCUUCCAUUGUUUAGAAGCUUAGUGUGUCAUCUUCGACUUGCCUCGAACCAACUAUAUAUUAACAUCAUUCGUUCGAUCAUGUCAAUGAUCGUGUUAGAUUACUUAAGGGGUUUGAAUAUUUCAAUGAGGGAUGUUAUGUACGUCUAUACUAUGAAGUAGUCUCACAUUCCUCAUGAAUGGUACUUGUUUGCUUGCUUAGGUGUAACUGGCUUCAUCACCGGGGCACCCUCGACCAAUAAAGACCUGAAUUGUGGUAUUGUUGCCAUUUUGGCUAAAUGAAAGUUUGGACCUUUUGAACCCAAUGACCUUCCUAGGGUUCACAUAACACAUGACAUGUCACAUUAGUUUUUAGUUUUGAGUUUUGCCUUUCCUCUUUUCUUUCUGAGGUGAAUCUUAAUAAUGGACUACACCUAGAGGGGGGUUGAAUAGGUGUUGUUGAACUAUAAAAACAAAAUGUCCCAACAAAGAUUACCUAAUCUUAGAAUUUUUCAAUAUCAAUAAACUUUUCUUCCAACAACUUUUCAAUAAAACAUAAAAUCUACAAAUAAGUAUGUAUGCACCAAUACUCUCCUAAUAAUUUAUGCAAUUAACAUGCAAAUGCUUCAACACUCCUCAAAAUUAAUUCAAAAGAACAAUUACCUUCUUAACUCAUUUCAAUUUACUACAAGAUAUCAUUAACUAAAAUGAACAAAAAAAUUAUUAAAGACAUUUCAUGGAUAAUCACACUUAUUUCAGCUCAGAUAUCUUCCAUUUAACAUAUAUGCCCAAGUAACCAAUGAUAUCAAAAACUGAAAAUAAAUCAAAGAGUGGAAUGAGAGAAAGAGAUAAUUGACACAGAAUUUUAAUGUGGAAAACCUUCGAAGAGAUGAAAAACCACAGGCCUAUAACUGAUAAAAAAACAUCCACUAUAAAGAAUAAAAAUUGAAUACAAGGUUUUACCUAACUCAAACCAACCAAUCCCUUCUCGAAACAUUUAACUAGUAUCUUUUACUUUUAGUUUCUCACAUUCUUCUUUAGAAGCACACUUGGAGUCCACACCAAGCUCGAUCUCAGCCUCUUCUUGAAUUCACAUAAGAAGAAAAUGAGUUUUUACACAAACUCACAAACAAUAAGAGAUGAAUGCUUAAGGAAUCAACCCCUUUUUCUUUUUAGAAAAUCCAUUUAAAAAUUUUCUUGGAAAACUUGGAUGUGACUCAUAAGAAUUUUGUCCAGAAUUGCCAACCUAGCUAAACACUCAUACUUUUCUUCUUUGUAGAUUGUGCCUUGCCUUUACUUUUUCUUGUAGUGAUAGAGGAUACCGAGGUUCUAGAGAUUAGUGAUUCCUAUCGAGCUGAGAUCACUGGUGGUUCAAAAUUGACAUUGUUUUCGUGACUAGAAGGUUUUGUUGAAGCCAACCCAAUUGUAUGCCAAUUUCAUCUCCUUGGGUUUGAUUUCUCUCCAACAUUUCUUUCAUCAAUCCGAACGGGUGACUUCUUUGGAAAAAAAAUUCCUACUUCUCACACCUCCUUUAGUUGUUGAUCGUCUAAAGAGGAAGCAUUAGCAACCUUUGUUGAAACAAUCUUCUUCGGAUGGGAAGUCUCAAAACAUUGGGUCAACCACUAGGGGCCUAUUGGGUCACUGACAAUCCCAAAGGAUAGAGCAAGGCUCAUUCAAGUGUUAGGGUAACCCAUUCUUUUGGGACUUUGAAGAGUAAGACAUCAUUUUCCUCUACUUCGAUCGAUCUCAUUGUAAGUUUUGAAGAUGCAUAAGAUUCGACUAAAUCUAAAGCUCUAAGAAUGAUAGGUGGAGCAAUGGAGAAGGACACUUUAGAUGUCAGGGACAUAAGGAAGGUUUUGGCCAUGUCGUCCUCUAUUGUAGUAUAUGACUCAUAUUGAGUGAAAAACAUAUAUGGAGAAAAAAAAAGAGAAGGGCAAAUGCUGGAGUGGAACGGAGUGUACACUUCAAGGGUAUUUUUAGAAUUUCAAUACCUGAGAGUUAGUAUAAAUACCCUUUUACGUAACCUUAAUUUUGAUACAGUGAAAGUCUUCUUCCCUAUUCUUGUGGACAUAGGCAUUCUUCCAAACCACGUUAAAAUCAGUGUAUUUUAUUUUGUUUUCUCAAAUCUCUUCAUUAGGAACCCUUCAUAACCUAAGUUCUAAAGGGGGAAAAGAUUCUGAUUUCGAGAUGCUUUCUGUUGGUAGGGAUUUACUUUCGGUGGUUGAGGUAGCUAAGUGGUCAACUCUUCCUAGUGAUGCCAAAUUUAUUUCGGGUUUUUCUAAUCGUGAGGUGGUUGAUAAAUCAAUUAGGCUGACCUAUUGGGUGCAAAUUGAAGUUUUCUUUUCCUUUUCCCUAUGUUUUUAUGUUCCGUGUGAGUCAUUGAGUUGGCUUAUAGUUUAUGUUUUAUGUGUUUUCCUCAUCCAUGUAGGCCUUAUAGUUCAACUUGGUUAUUUGUCAGCGUCUUACUUCGUCUCGACUCAACUAGGUCGGGUUGAGGGACCAAGUGAGAGUAUGUCCUCCCAAGUGGAGGUCAUCUCAAAAGAGCUGGUCAUGUUAAAUCCAAGUUGAAGGUUGAGUGGAAUAUUAUGACCAAUUUCCAGCAAAAGAUUGUGCCUCUUAGGGUUUGUUUUAGGGACUUGGAGUCUCACUUGAAGUCACUUUCUAAAGAAAAAAAUGACUUGAGCAAUCUUUUGGAGGAGAUUAGAUGAGCCAGGGUGAUGUGCGAAUUGGACCUAUUCCACUUGCAAGAAAACUGAGACAAAGAGAGAUAAAAAUUUUGUGACAAAGUUUACAUGCAACUUACUAGUGACUUGUUGGCCCAUGAUAAGCAGAACCAAAAUGAGGAGGACGUUUUUGGUUGGAGUAUUUGAAGCUUGGAAUUUAGUAUUUUGACCCUCUUGAGUUUGAUUUUGGUAGUAAAUCUAAUGGGUCUUCCAACCAAUUCCUUAUGGAUGAUCAUUUUCUAGGUACGAAUGGUGGUCUUACUACAUUGGAUUUAGAGGUGAACUUUUUUUUGUUUUUUGAAAUCUUAUUGACUGUAAGGAUUUUGGUGUUUCAAGGAGCUUAGGUUGGUUGGUGGACAUCACAAUGAGCCAAGAAAAAAGCAAGGUAGUUGCAAAGAGCUUGGGUGUUGUUCAUGAGGUAGUUAUUGAGGCUUUUAGAUCGAAGGAAGAUGAGACAAUGAAGAAUGCUACUCUUUCUGUUCCCUUAGUCACUAACUUUUCUCAAAUCAAGGGUGAUACCUUGGAGAUUGACAUUAAUACUUUUUCAAAGGAGUCUGGGUUUUUGUUGGAGAAAGAUUCUUUUAGACUUGAAAUUGCUUUACUGUUGGAAACCUGACAACACUUUGUUCUAGCCCUUUUUUUCCCAUUUGUUUUUGUUUUGGAAAUGUUUGCCCUAUUUCAAACUAUAUGAGAUAUUUCUUUUGUAGUGAACGAUAUGCUAAGAAUGAAAUUUUCUUUUGGCAAUUAUAUGUGUUGUGUAAGUUUGGGAAAUAGAUGAGUUUGUGUUGUAGGUAGAAUGCCCUCACCUUUUACCAAGAGGUAGGGUUGAACUAUGGUAUGGUCCUAUUAGGGGUAGGUACAAUCAACAUGGGUUGGAAAAUACAGUCGAAGCUCUAUAUAAUGACCAUUUAAGCAUUUUUAUUUUUAUUUUUGGCUAAUUUAUGGUGUUGCGGCAUAUAUGCUUGCUUGUAUUUAAGCUUUUUUGGAGGUUGCUUACCCAAUUUUUCCCAUUCUUACAUUGCACAAUUAAGUUAAAGCGAACCAAAUUGAUUUAAUACAUAAUACAAUUAUGCAUAGUACUUUUUAAGGUGUAUCUAGUUCCAAGGUUUAGGUAGGGGUGCCCCAUCUGGUUGUACUAGCCAACAUGUUUCAGUUCAAGACAUUUUGAUAACCUGAAGGCACCUUCCUAAGUUGGCACAAACUUGCCUUCAUCCGCAUGUCUAUUUGGAUUAUGUAUAGCUUAGAGUACCAGAUAUUCCCAUUUAUAUGGGUUGAUGUUGGACUUUUUGGUUGUAUGCUCUUAACAGUUGUUGUUGGUAUAAGCAACUAUUUGAAUGACCACCUUCUCAUGCCUUUCCUCCAAGAAGGGGUGGUUUCGAUUAGAGUCCUUUGGUUGUCUUUCCCUUCAUAAUAUUGUACACAAAGGGUUGACAUUCCUAUAUUAAUUGGUACUAACCUCCACUUCGUAUGAGUUUUCUUAGUUGUCAUGAUGUGAGGUGUGGCCCGGUAUGCCCAUAGGAUUACCGGUAGCUCUUCAACCCAUUUGGCUUUAGAUAUUUCCAAACAUUUUUUGAGUGCUGCAAGUAUUGUUAUGUUACUAAUUUCUACAUGUCCAUUACCUUAGGGUAAGCUAGAGUUGAUAAAUGAUGUUGGAUACCCAAUUCUUGGCAUAAAUCCUUAAACUCUAAGGAUUUAAACUACAUUCUAUUAUUGAUAGUGAUCUCUUGUGGAAUGCUGAACCAACAAAUGAUGUUCUUCCAGAGGAAAGUGUGGAUGUUCUUCUCUCUUAUUUGAGAUAAUGGUUCUGCUUCAAUCCAUUUUAUGAAAUUGUUAGUGGCAACUAGGAGGUAGUGUUGUUGAGCUGUUGAUAUAGGUAAUGACCCAAUCAAGUCUAACCCUUAAUGAACAAAAAGCCAAGUUGUAAUAGUCGGGUAAUAUUUCUAUGGUGGUAGGUGUUGUUGAAGGGCAUACCUUUGACACCUCUCACAAGCCUAGACAAAUUGCAUAGCAUAUUUUUGCACGUAAGGCUAAUAGUAUCCUAGACUAAGGGCUUGGUGCAUCAACAUUCUUUUGCCAUAGUGAUUUCCAUAUUGCCCUUGAUGUAUUUUUGCUAGGAAAUACUAGGAUUCAAGGUGUGAUAAACAUUAGAGGUAGGGACCUUGUGUGGAAUGUAAAUAUAACUAUUUAUCAAUGAUUGUAUAUUGCAAGGCCUAAACUUAGAGUUUAUGUGCAUUUUUUUUUUAUCCUUUGACAACGUUUCAUUUUUAAGAUAUUUUAGGAAUGGUGUCCUCCAGUCUUCUUCAUUGAUAGAGUUACUGCAGUUUACACUCAAUUCGCAUCUGUAUAUGCUUGGUUGCUUUUGAUAUUCCAAGCUAACACUUUGUUGCUUGUCCACCCUAAGAUGUAUUGCUAGGUUAGCCAAUAGGUCAGCGAUCACAUUUUUCUCCCGCGGAAUUUGUUCAAUAUUGAAUUUGUUGAAGGUUUGUUUGAUUUCAUUGACUCUAGACAGAUAGGCUCCCAUUCGAUCAUCUUUGGCCUCAUAUUGAGAUAGGACCUGACAUACCAUAAGUUUGGAGUUCCGAGUAUACUUGAAUUUUUUGGGCUCCUAAAAGUCGAGAUACUUCUAAUCCACGAAGUAAGGCUUCAUAGUUUGAUUCAUUUUUGGAUGCUUCGAAUCCAAGUACAAUGCUUUUGUCUAUACUUACGAAUGGGGUUUCCAUGUGGAUUCCAAUCCUUACACCAUGUUGGUUUGAAGCCCGAUCUACAUAGAGAACGUAAACCUCUUAUGGCCUUGGUUUGUCUCUGGUUUAACUUCUUUUGUGAACUCAACCACAAAGUCUACUAACACUUGCUCUUUUAAUUGUAGUAUGUGGUUUAUAGCUCAUGUUAUACUCACUUGACUCCACAAAUCAUUGUAGCAUCUUUCCAAAUGGGUUAAGUUUGCUGAGGACGUUUCUGAUUGGUAAGAAGUUAAUACGAUGAUGGUAUGCACUUGAAAGCAUGAUUGAAGCUUUUGAGUAGCAACCAAUAAGGCCAGGGUUAACUAUUCCAAUUGGGUAUAACUGAUCUUAGUGUUCAACAAUGCUUGAAAGUAUGAUCGAAGCUUUCGAGUAGCAAUCAAUAAGGCCAGGGUUAACUAUUCCAAUUGGGUAUAACUGAGCUCAGUAUUCAACAAUGCUUUGCUUACAUAGUAGAUUGGUCUUUUUUUACUUUUUUGGUUUUGAAACAAGAUAACACUUACAACCUGCCUUGAGAUUUUUAGGUAGAUGUAUAAUUUCUCAUGAGGUUGGGGUAUUGAGAGGAUUGACGGGUGUGAUAGGUGCUUUUUUAGUAGUUUGAAGGCUUCAGUGCAUUUCAUGUCCUACCGUAAUUUUUUUUUUUUUAGCAAAACAAAAAUGGGUUUACACUUGUCAGUUAAUUAGGAUAUGAAAUGAGAUAAGGCUACUAUUUUUUCGGCUUCUUGUACCUCCUUUUGUGUAGUUGGGAUCUUCAUGUUGUGUAUCGCAUGGAUUUGGUCUAGGUUUGCCUUAAUGCCCUGCCUUGUUUCCAAAUGCCCUAAAUAUUUUCCACUGGUAACUUCAAAGAUGCAUUUAAUUGGAUUAAGCCAUAUCUCAUGCUUGAAUAUAGCGGCCAAUACUUCGGCUAGGUGUUGGGGAUGAUCAUUGGCUCUUUUACUUUUUACCAUCAAGUCGUCCAUGUAGACCUUGACCUCCCUUCCUAUUUGUUACUAGAAUACUCACACCAUUUUACGUUGAAAGGCAUUACCUUGUAACAAUAUGUUCCUUGCUCCAUAAUGAAGACAGUUUUUUCCACGUUGUUAAGGUGCAUGGGAAUUUGGUUGCAUCCAUUGUAUGAAUCUAAGAAGGUCAAUACCUUGUGCCCAACGACGAAAUCCACUAGCUUAUCUAUACAAGGUAGUGAGUAAAUGUCUUUUGGACAAGCCUUGUUGAGGUUAGUGUAAUCUACACACAUCACCCAUUUCUUGUUCUUCUUUGGUACGAUCACAACAUUGCCCAGCUAGGUUGGGUAUUUGACCUCUCGUAUGAAUUUGAUGGCAAGUAGUUUUUUUAACUUUUUUCAUAUGAUUUGAUUUUUAAAUGGUGCAAAACAACUUUGUUUUUGCUAUAUCGGUGGGAAAUGGGGUUCGACAUUGAGUUAGUGACUAUAGACUUGUGGAUUUACCCUUAGCAUAUCCUGUGGUUGCCAAGAAAACACGUGCACAUAGGCUCGUAAACACUCUUCUAGGCUUUCUUGCAAAACAUUAUCUAUUACUUUUCAUUGUUGCUUUGCUUUCAUAUCACGAUUUCCCAAGUGGGCUUUGCUACCUUCUACCGCUUUUGAUCUUCUUUUGGCUUGGCCGGGGAGGAGGAAUUUCUUUAAUUGCUAUUUGUCAGGAGUUACGAAGGGUAGUGGUCUUACAGUUGUAAGUAUUGCAUACAUUAUAGCUAGAUGGAAAUGCCAAGCAGUGAGCUGGUUUCCUAAUACUUUCUGUAUUCCCUUUGGAGUUUGCAUCUUAAUCUUUUGAUGCUAGGUCAAGGUCACUGCAUGGGUGGCAUGUAUCCAAGGUCGACCCAGAAUGGUGUUGUACAAGGAAGUAGAUAUUUCGAUUUGGAAGUGGGUUGGGGUUUUUGGUUGAUUUGAUCACCACCUCCAAGGUUAGUUAUCCUAUGCUUGGGUGGUUUUUCUAUUGAACCCAACCAAAAUGGUCUAACUUGGUUCCACUUUUUGAUGCUCUUGGUCCAUUAAUUGGGAACAACCAUAGAAAAAGAUGUGGAACUCCUAGUGUCAACUAGAAUCCUUUGGACUUGGUAUGACCUAAUCUGUAGGGUGACUACCAAUGGGUCACUGAUUACUACUCAAAAAGUGCUAUUUGAUAGCCUUUAAUUAAUCUUUUUUAACACUUUUGAGUAGUAGUUUAGGCCUUUUAACUCAAUUGGCAUGUUAAGGAUCCUUUAAAGCAAUUUUGAUCACUUUGUGUAAGUUUUGGUGUUUUUGUUAGUAUUUUGAUCACCAAAGCAAGUCAAGAAUGAGGAGAGCUAUGAGGAAUCAUGGGCAAAGCUUAGAAUUCAAUUGCCAAGAGUGAAUCCGGAUUGCAAGGAGAAAAAGCAAAGAGGAUCAGUCAUGGAGCAUAUUCUUGAUGACAGUCGUAGCAGCCACUUUUGGAGCACUUUCUGAAGUCCAAAUGAUGCAAGCUAUAUACCAUUUCAAAGCUCAGGAAGUCAACAAUCCAAUGCUUCAAACGGUGUGCAAUUUGGAGUUGAAACGAAGAAGUUGCAGCCAUUACAAGCCAGUCACUCUAAAGUGUUGCGGAAUCAGCCUUUUGUUGCGAGAAUUUCGCAACACUUUUGUAUAGUAAGGUGUUUCUCCUUCUGACGAUGCACGAACCAUGCCGCGAGAAGGGAGCUGGAAACUUCAAGAUGGAAGCCAACUUUGCAGCCUGGUGAAGAUAGCUCGGUGUUGCGGAAUAAUUUCGCAGCCCUCUUGGGUGUCUGCGAAAUUUCGCAGACACCACUUUUCUCCUGCGAAAUGGCUCCGGAAGCCUCCCGAAGCUUGCUACCGACAUUGGGAGAUAUUUUCCAUUAGAUUUUUGUUGUCUAAAUUCCAAAAUACUCCUUGUAAACCACCAAUUACAUGAUUCCUUAGUUUUUAAGUUAGUAAAAAGACCAAAUAUCUUUGUAACAAUUAGUUUUAUAUUGCUUUGAUAUAAAUACCUCUCGGGAGCCUGUUCUCAAGGAGGAGUUCCUUCUGUAACCAUUUGGUAAGGAAGUAAAAGUUUUUUUUCUUUCUACUACCUUACCUUCUCACUUUGUAUUUUCAUUUUAUUUCUAAGUUAUGAAUUCUCUGAGGAGUUUUCCCCAGAGAAUGAGUAACUAAACCUCCAAUUCCUUGGAGCUAAGGUUGCCGGGGAAGGUUCCAAGUGCAAAAAUGCAAAACUCUGUGGUUUUAGCUAGUAAUGAAGAGGAAGUGAAAUCCUUUAGUGAUUUCAAUGUUUUUAGUUAACUUAAAACACCUUAGAGUCACCUGGGCCAACACUUGGUAAGGCAAGUGAUUUCCAACCAUGGAAAUGCACUAGUUUACCCCUUGCGAGCCUCUGGUAGGUGACUUCAAGGUAGGAUUUUCUGGAAUUACCAACACUUGGUAAGCUUUUGGACUCCUAGGAGACAUCCAUUAGUUAUCUCUUGCGAGUUUGUGAAGGGAAGUCCAAGGUUAAAGAUCACCUUGAAUGGUAAGUGCUCGUGAGAGGCAUGAACCAUUGCAAGUUGUAUCAGUGAGAGAAUUAAAGUGAAAUCUAAUUGAAGGAGUCUCUGUACAUCACCGAUUAGAGAAUUGACUUUAAGUUGAAUCUCUAAUGCGAGGAAAUGAACCAUCUGACCGGAGCUAUGUCUUUUGCAUGAGGAACCACCCCAGUGAACCUAAAUCUCCAAGGAAUGCUUUUUCUUCCUAAAUUAUUCCAAACUUCUGUUAAGUUAGUUAGUUUAAGUCUAAACCUUUACCAAUCAAACUUUGUGUUUUACUUCUUAAGCUAACCGUGAAAUGAAACAAGACCAAUUCACUUGGAAUUGGUAUCCUUGAUUGCUUGCAAAUCAUUCCCAGUGAACGAUCCUUAGAGCCACUAUACUAUAGUAGCUUUGUAUUUGCUACCCUAGUGUAUGGUGUUAUAGGUAUAAAUUUUGUUGAUCACUUCCUCAAUCAAGGAGCACCAGCUGAACACAAAUCAGCUGAGACACCAAUUGGGCAUGAGUCAAAUGGCGCCGCUGCCGGGGAAUGAGUGUCAAGUUCAUUGUGAUACCAUUUUUGAGCACUUGUGAUUUUCAUCACAAGUUGGUAAAGUUUCUUUCACUUUACUAAUUUUCAUUCUCUCUUUGUUUAUUUACAAUCUAAGUUUAUCUUUUUAAAAUUUAGUCUAGUUUAAUUUUGCUAUUGUAGUCCUCUGUUCUUGUUGUCCUCUGUUUUCAUUUUUUAGUUGCAGCUAAAUACUAGUUGUGUAUGCCAAAGUGGAUACAAGACAUUGGAGGUAGGCUUGUUAAGUGUGAUACACCUCAGAAAGGAGAAUUUGAAGUAAUCUUGAAUAUCAUGGAGGCUGCACCUGAAGAUCAGCAUAGUCACCAAGGUCGUCAAGACAAUCUCAAUGAAUUCAGAUCAAUGAGGGACCGUAUGCAUCCACCUCGUAUGAGUGCACCAUCAUGUAUAGUGCCCCCUACAGAGCAGCUAGUGAUCAGACCAUAUCUUGUUCCACUUCUACCAACUUUCCAUGGGAUGGAAAGUGAGAAUCCGUAUGCACACAUCAAGGAAUUUGAAGAUGUUUGUAAUACAUUCCAAGAGGGAGGAGCUUCAAUUGACUUGAUGAGGCUUAAGUUAUUUCCUUUUACUUUAAAGGAUAAGGCCAAAAUUUGGCUUAAUUCUUUAAGGCCAAGGAGUAUCCGCUCUUGGACUGAUUUACAAGCUGAAUUCCUCAAGAAAUUUUUUCCUACUCAUAGAACAAAUGGCUUGAAAAGGCAAAUUUCAAACUUCUCAGCUAAAGAGAAUGAGAAAUUCUAUGAGUGUUGGGAAAGAUACAUGGAAGCUAUAAAUGCUUGUCCUCACCAUGGCUUUGAUACUUGGCUAUUGGUGAGCUAUUUUUAUGAUGGUAUGUCCUCCUCAAUGAAGCAACUCCUUGAGACAAUGUGUGGAGGAGAUUUCAUGAGCAAAAAUCCAGAGGAAGCUAUGGAUUUUUUGAACUAUGUAGCUGAUGUUUCAAGGGGAUGGGAUGAACCAACUAAAGGAGAAGUGGGAAAGAUGAAGUCUCAGUUGAAUGCUUACAAUGCAAAAGCUGGGAUGUAUAAUUUAAAAGAAGAUGAUGACAUGAAAGCAAAGUUGGCAGCUAUGACAAGAAGAUUGGAGGAGCUGGAGCUGAAAAGAAUGCAUGAAGUGCAAGCUGUUGCUGAAGCACCAGUGCAAGUGAAGCUGUGUCCCAAUUGUCAAUCGUUUGAACAUUUGGUGGAGAAGUGCCCUGCAAUUUCAGUUGAAAGGGAAAUGUAUAGAGAUCAAGCAAAUGUUGUUGGACAAUUCAGGCCCAAUAACAAUGCUCCUUAUGGAAAUACCUACAAUUCAAGUUGGAGGAAUCAUCCAAAUUUCUCAUGGAAGGCCAGAGCAACUCAAUACCAACAGCCGGAUCCACCAUCUCAGCAAUCUUCAAGUAUUGAACAAAUAAUAGCUAAUCUCAGCAAGGUAGUGGCAGAUUUAGUGGGAAAGCAAGAAGCCACCAAUGCUCGAGUGGAUCAAAGAAUGGACAGAGUGGAUCAAAGAAUGGACAGAAUGGAGAGUAUGUUGAACAAAAGAAUGGAUGGAAUGCAAAAUGAUAUGAAUCAAAAAUUUGAUAACAUCCAAUAUUCAAUUUCAAGGCUUACAAAUUUGAAUACACUGCAAGAAAAAGGAAGAUUUCCUUCUCAACCUAACCAAAAUCCCAAAGGUGUCCAUGAAGUGGAAAGCCUUGAGGGAGAAUCAUCACAGGUGAAAGAUGUGAAAGCUUUGAUCACUCUAAGGAGUGGUAAAAAAAUUGAGCAGCCAACACCCAAGCCACAUGUUGAGAAAGAAGAAGAGAUAAAGAAAGGGAAGGAAAUGGAAGAUAAAGGCAGUGAGAUCAGUGAAGAAAAGAAGGUCUCUGAUGCAACAAUGAAAGCAAUUCCAGAGAAAGAGCUUCUGAAGGAAGAAAUGCUGAAGAAAUCAACUUUUCCACCUUUUCCUCAAGCAUUACAGGGGAAAAAGGGGGUUAGAAAUGCAGCUGAAAUCCUAGAAGUAUUGAGGCAAGUGAAAGUUAAUAUUCCACUGCUGGAUAUGAUCAAACAAGUUCCAACGUAUGCAAAAUUCCUAAAGGACUUGUGUACUAUCAAGAGAGGGUUGACUGUAAACAAGAAAGCCUUCUUGACUGAGCAAGUAAGUGCAAUCUUACAGUGUAAGUCUCCUUUGAAGUACAAAGACCCUGGAAGUCCUACCAUUUCAGUCAUGAUUGGAGGAAAGGUAGUGGAGAAAGCCUUGCUAGACUUGGGAGCAAGUGUGAAUUUGCUUCCAUACUCUGUCUACAAGCAACUGGGACUUGGAGAGUUGAAGCCAACAUCAAUCACUUUAUCUUUGGCAGAUAGAUCAGUGAAAAUUCCAAGAGGAAUAAUUGAGGAUGUAUUGGUUCAAGUAGAUAAUUUCUACUAUCCUGUAGAUUUUGUUGUUCUUGAUACUGAUCCUACUGUAAAGGAAGCUAAUUUAGUUCCUAUCAUCCUUGGAAGGCCAUUUCUUGCUACUUCAAAUGCAAUCAUCAACUGUAGAAAUGGGCUUAUGCAACUCACUUUUGGUAAUAUGACACUGGAUCUAAAUAUUUUCUACAUGUCUAAAAAGCAAAUCACUCCUGAGGAAGAAGAAGGUCCAGAAGAGCUAUGUAUUAUUGAUACUUUGGUGGAGGAGCACUGCAAUCAGCAUAUGCAAGACAAGUUGAAUGAAAGUUUUGUGGAUAUUGAGGAAGGUUUUUCUGAAUCUCCUAUUGGGCUUGCUACUCUACAAAGUUGGAGAAAGAUAGAAGGAAUUCUACCUUUGUUCAAUGAGGAAGAGGAGGCAGCUGUUGAAAAAGAAAUUCCAAAACUCAAUCUGAAGCCUUUACCUGUGGAGCUGAAAUAUACAUAUCUUGAAGAAAAUAAUCAAUGUCCUGUCGUAAUAUCUUCAUCUCAAACCAAGUCUCAAGUGAAGGAUGCAAGCUUCAAAUGGGAUCCAGGCAAACUAAAUCAGGAAGGGCAAAAAGUUUUGAUGUAUGACACAAGACUCCAUAUCUUUCCUGGGAAGCUCAAGUCAAGGUGGAUUGGUCCAUUUGUUAUUCACCGAGUAUAUUCCAAUGGAGUGGUGGACUUAUUGAAUUCCAAUGGCAAGGACAGCUUUAGAGUCAAUGGAUAUCGUCUUAAGCCGUUCAUGGAGUCAUUCAAAUCAGAAAAGGAGGCAAUCAACCUCCUUGAACCUCAAAAAGCCUAAGUGAAAUGGGUUUGCUGGGCGUGGUUUUACCACAGUCCAAAAUUUUUGUAAAUUUUGUAAAUUUUCAAGUUGUUUCUAUGCUUUUGAUCUUAGUUUUUGAUCUUAAAUUAUGUUUUUAGGUGUGUUUUAAUCGUUUUAUAUGAUCCCAGGUGGAAGAAAUUUCAAGGGGAUUGAAAAAAAAAAAAUCGGGCCGAAAUUGGAGCCGAAACAGAGCAAAAACAGGGGAAAAAACAGAGCUCUGCGAAAUUUCGCAGGGUGAAGGAAACCUCUGCGAAAUGUGAUUUUUGUUGCCAAACCACUCCGCAGCACUGUAGAAGCCUCUGCGAGUGUAUUUCGCAAUUGCGAAAGUGGAUUUGGCACACGAGUGCCACUUCGCAGAACAGUAGCAUCAAUUUGGCAGCUGCGAAACGCGUUGCGAAAUGAAAAAGCGUGAUUUCGCACCAAAAGUCCUAUUCCGCAGAGUAUUUCGCAAUUGCGAAAGUGGUUUUGGCACACGAGUGCCACUUCGCAGCACAGUGACAUCAAUUUCGCAGCUGCGAAACUCACUGCGAAGUUGCUGCGAAAAUGGCAAGUUGCUGCGAAAUUGGCGUUUUGUUGCGGAACUUAAACUGACCCCUGGGCUUCCGUUUUUCCUAUUUAUACCGGUCAAAAAUGCUGCGAAAAGGGUUUCAAAAAUCAGAGAGCCAUUCUCGCAGCCCCUUCAUCUUCUUCGCCAAGCCACGCCGUCCGAACCUCCGGUCGUCUUCUCCGUUUAGCAGCGCCGGCCAAAGAUCGAUAUCUCCAAAAUGGCACGAACGCGAGGAGCAAAAUCUUCAUCUCCUUCGAACCGCAAAAGGAGUCUGCGAAAGGAGCCAAGCCCAGGUUCUGUUCCAGAACCUACUCCAAAGCCUUCGCCGUCGAGACCAAACCCUCCUCCAGUGAAGCCGGCGCCACCAAAGCCACCGGCAAGGCGAUAUUUAACCAGGUCAGGUGGUCAGCCAUUGAAGAAGAAAACCAGGGUUGAGAGCUCUGAACCAAUUGAUUUGACUGAGCAAUCCCCUGAGAAAUCACCAAAUCCUUCACCGGUACAAAUUCCAGUGCCGUCACCGGUUCCCUCGCCAAUUCCCUCACCAGAAGCAACUCCAAUUCCAUCGCCGGUACUAUCUCCGGCACCCCAAGAAAAAGCUCAGGAGCCUCAAGCGCCAAUUCCAGAGCCCCAAAUUGCAGCUGAAGCACCUCUGGAAGAAGUGAUCCGAAGGCCAAUGCUGCCUCAGCCCCCAAUCGAAGGAAACUUGGAUUGUCGAACUCGGGCAUUCCAUUCUGAAUUGUGCUUCGACUUAGCAGCAUUCAGAGUGAGGCCAGAGCUUGCCCAAUCCUUCCAACUGCUGAGGAGAUAUCAUAUGGAGCAUCUGUUAGCUCCAAGGGAUUUUUUCUAUCCUCGGGUAGUCACUGAUUUCUACCAGAGCCACACUCUCAGCCUUCAGAGUCUCAAGCUCCAGAGCCCGAAGCCCCAGCUGAUCCACCUACUGAGGAAGCAGAUCCUUCUGCUUAGCACCAUCACCCCACUCAUCAGACAUUAUAUAUAUUUGCUAUUUAUGUUUUUAUGCAUGCUUGUUUGUUUUUUUUUUUUUAGUUGAAAUGAAAUCCCAGUAUUUUGGUACUAUAUAUGGGAUUCCUUGUGUUACUUGUCUUUAGUAUUGUAAUCAAAUGAACUCAAAGUAAUACAAGUUGACUAUUUCUUGUUAAAAGUUAACAUUAAGUUAUUAUUAUUUCCUUUUCUCACAUAUUCUAUUCUUUUUGAAACAUGUGGUUUUCCCCAAUCAAUAUUCGAAUUUGAUAUCAGCAAGGAGAUACCACUUCCUCCCUUUGAUUACAGUCACUCAAAUCACAUUGAGGACAAUGCUCAGUUCGGUUGGGGGGUAUGAGGAAGGAAGUAUGCUAAAUCUUUUUGGUAUUGCAAUUAUUGGUUAAUUAGUUGUAGUUUUUACUUUUUACUCUUGUUACUCUAUUCUCCAUGAAUUUCGAGGAAAAAUUUUCAAAUUAAACCAAGAGAAAUUGAACUGUUGUUUUUCACUUGACUUAGAGUAUGGAUUAUGCUUACUAAAGUGGUUCAAUUGUUGAAACUUCUACUGAAAUUGAAUUGAGUUCUUCUACUUUAAGCUAUCCACACACUGUGCACAUUAGUUUCCGAUUAUAAGAUGAAAAACUAUUUCCCUCUUGACUUAAAAUAAUUUUGAGACUUGGUAUAUUUGACCUCAUUUGAUAAAAAUUGAAACACCCUGCAAAAGGCCAAUGAGCCUUUGAAAUAAAGAAAUUUGUUUGCUUGCCUUGAAACCCGAGCAAGGUCUGAGGGGUAUAUGGUGAAAAUCUUUAAAGCCUGGUGCCCUAAGCCUUAAUUGGUUGGGAGUCACCGACCUCAAUGCUCGUUACAAGGGUGAAUAGGUAGAGUUAGCAUAUGGUAGAUGCUUGGGUAUUAGAAAUUCAUUCUUAAAAGUCCGGGGAAAAAUCCGAGGAGUUAGUGGUUGAAAGAUCCUUAAAACUUGGUGCCCUAAACCUUAAUUGGUUGGGAGUCAUCGAUGGACCCCCAUUACAUGGACAAGUCAGAAAGAGUACCCCAUAAAGCUACCUUGAAAAAAAAAAAAAAAAAAAAAAAAAAAAAAAAAGAAAGAUGAAAGUGUGUUCUUUUCUUAUUGAUUUUGGUCAGUUUGCUAAAGUGUUGAAAAGAGAUAGGUUGGGGGGUGAGAUUAGCAUAUUAUUCUCGGAACCUAAGGAACCAAUACACAUAGAUUUUUGUGGAAGAUUGAAGUUUAGUUCUUAGAAAGUGAAAUGAUUUUAAAACUUCAGUUUGCAUAAUGCACUCCCUUGAUUGACAGUGUUUAGCAUAAGUGUUAUGACUCUUGUUGAGGUUUGGGUUUGUAUUUCUUUAAUGAUUCAUGUGAGAAAUAGAUCAUCAUGCCACUUGAGAAUUAUUUUCCUUUAGCAUGAUGUUGUAAAUUUUAGUAUAAUUAGCUAUUUAUUUUCAUUUUUCUCUCCUAUAUUGCUAAGGGACUAGCAAUAUGUCGGUUGGGGGGAGUGAUUACUACUCAAAAAGUGCUAUUUGAUAGCCUUUAAUUAAUCUUUUUUAACACUUUUGAGUAGUAGUUUAGGCCUUUUAACUCAAUUGGCAUGUUAAGGAUCCUUUAAAGCAAUUUUGAUCACUUUGUGUAAGUUUUGGUGUUUUUGUUAGUAUUUUGAUCACCAAAGCAAGUCAAGAAUGAGGAGAGCUAUGAGGAAUCAUGGGCAAAGCUUAGAAUUCAAUUGCCAAGAGUGAAUCCGGAUUGCAAGGAGAAAAAGCAAAGAGGAUCAGUCAUGGAGCAUAUUCUUGAUGACAGUCGUAGCAGCCACUUUUGGAGCACUUUCUGAAGUCCAAAUGAUGCAAGCUAUAUACCAUUUCAAAGCUCAGGAAGUCAACAAUCCAAUGCUUCAAACGGUGUGCAAUUUGGAGUUGAAACGAAGAAGUUGCAGCCAUUACAAGCCAGUCACUCUAAAGUGUUGCGGAAUCAGCCUUUUGUUGCGAGAAUUUCGCAACACUUUUGUAUAGUAAGGUGUUUCUCCUUCUGACGAUGCACGAACCAUGCCGCGAGAAGGGAGCUGGAAACUUCAAGAUGGAAGCCAACUUUGCAGCCUGGUGAAGAUAGCUCGGUGUUGCGGAAUAAUUUCGCAGCCCUCUUGGGUGUCUGCGAAAUUUCGCAGACACCACUUUUCUCCUGCGAAAUGGCUCCGGAAGCCUCCCGAAGCUUGCUACCGACAUUGGGAGAUAUUUUCCAUUAGAUUUUUGUUGUCUAAAUUCCAAAAUACUCCUUGUAAACCACCAAUUACAUGAUUCCUUAGUUUUUAAGUUAGUAAAAAGACCAAAUAUCUUUGUAACAAUUAGUUUUAUAUUGCUUUGAUAUAAAUACCUCUCGGGAGCCUGUUCUCAAGGAGGAGUUCCUUCUGUAACCAUUUGGUAAGGAAGUAAAAGUUUUUUUUCUUUCUACUACCUUACCUUCUCACUUUGUAUUUUCAUUUUAUUUCUAAGUUAUGAAUUCUCUGAGGAGUUUUCCCCAGAGAAUGAGUAACUAAACCUCCAAUUCCUUGGAGCUAAGGUUGCCGGGGAAGGUUCCAAGUGCAAAAAUGCAAAACUCUGUGGUUUUAGCUAGUAAUGAAGAGGAAGUGAAAUCCUUUAGUGAUUUCAAUGUUUUUAGUUAACUUAAAACACCUUAGAGUCACCUGGGCCAACACUUGGUAAGGCAAGUGAUUUCCAACCAUGGAAAUGCACUAGUUUACCCCUUGCGAGCCUCUGGUAGGUGACUUCAAGGUAGGAUUUUCUGGAAUUACCAACACUUGGUAAGCUUUUGGACUCCUAGGAGACAUCCAUUAGUUAUCUCUUGCGAGUUUGUGAAGGGAAGUCCAAGGUUAAAGAUCACCUUGAAUGGUAAGUGCUCGUGAGAGGCAUGAACCAUUGCAAGUUGUAUCAGUGAGAGAAUUAAAGUGAAAUCUAAUUGAAGGAGUCUCUGUACAUCACCGAUUAGAGAAUUGACUUUAAGUUGAAUCUCUAAUGCGAGGAAAUGAACCAUCUGACCGGAGCUAUGUCUUUUGCAUGAGGAACCACCCCAGUGAACCUAAAUCUCCAAGGAAUGCUUUUUCUUCCUAAAUUAUUCCAAACUUCUGUUAAGUUAGUUAGUUUAAGUCUAAACCUUUACCAAUCAAACUUUGUGUUUUACUUCUUAAGCUAACCGUGAAAUGAAACAAGACCAAUUCACUUGGAAUUGGUAUCCUUGAUUGCUUGCAAAUCAUUCCCAGUGAACGAUCCUUAGAGCCACUAUACUAUAGUAGCUUUGUAUUUGCUACCCUAGUGUAUGGUGUUAUAGGUAUAAAUUUUGUUGAUCACUUCCUCAAUCAAGGAGCACCAGCUGAACACAAAUCAGCUGAGACACCAAUUGGGCAUGAGUCAGUCACUGUGGGGGAGAGACACAUGUCUAAGGUUUUGUGCAAUGAAUUCUAUCAUUGGAUCCCAUAUCCUGUUGAACUCUAUAAUACUCGAGCACAUUAAUGUGGUAGGUUGAAUAUGGUGUUGUUGUUGGACGACUCUUUGGCCAACAUGCAUAACAAAUCGAUUUUGGGUCUUGUUAUUGUAGGUGUCGAUAAUAUGUAUAGCUAGUCCCAGGUUGUCAUCUAUUUUGAGGGAUGGUAGUUCAUCUUGUUCCUUUGCCUCAACCGAGGUUGGUCGUCGUGGUGCAUAUUUCUUUACGUAUUGUUGUAAUCCUUUACACCACACUACAUUCUCGAGAUAUCAAUGUAGGGCCUUACAAUGAUUUGUUUGAUGUCCAUGAAUGUGAUAAUAAUGGAAAUACUUGGAUCUAUCUUGCUAUUCAGAAGGCUAGAUGGGCGUUGGAGGCCAUCAGAAGUUCGGGUCAUCUUUUAGUUUAGCCAACAAUUCUUGAGGUGAGGUCGUGAAUUCUACUCAGGUCACGGAUGAGGUGAACUUAACGGGAGGAUUUUUAUUGAACCUUUUUUUUUUCUUAGGUCCAACUCCUCAAUCUAAAGUAUGUUUGACUAGUGUGAUCUUCCUUUUUUUAUCUACGACCCUUAGCUCUUCUUCCUUGUUGGCGUAGUGGUUUGCUUUCACUAAGAGUUCCUCCAUGGUAGUCAACCCACUUUUCGCUAGUGACUACAGUAGAGGGCUUCUAGGCUAUAAAGUCUUUCUGAAAGCAACAAUUACCGCCCGCUAGUCAUUGCUUUCCACUUGGACCAUUUCAGUGAUGAACUAAUGGGUGAAUUUUUGCAAUGAUUUCGCUGUUGCUUGCUUCAGGUUGAAUAGAUAAUCUACACUUCCUUUCGUUGUAGGCAUAUUAGGUCAUAAACUGGUCACACGAUUGCGUGAAGCUGUUUAUGGAAUGCAGUGGAAGCUAAUGGAACCACGUUAGGGAUGACCCAUGCAAGCUGGUCGGAAAGACUCGUUAGAGUAGUCCCUCUCGAACAUCCACAAGGGCCAUUAGUUACUGGAAAUGAUAUAUGUGUCACUGGUUCCAUCAUAGAGGUUGAAUUUUGGUGGGACGUAGUGGGUACAAUUCUUCUUGGAACAAAUGUAAUGCAAGGAUUUAAGUUUAUUUCUUUAGCUUCGAGUGGCCUUGACAGGUGAAUUAGCUUGCAAUUUGAUUUUUUGUACUUCUGUUGCCAACUUCUUGUAUUUUCGUUCAAGAUCCUCUGGUUUUUGGAUAGGUCAAACCUUAAGAAUGGUUGUCUAGGUUGUCAAGGUGCCCUACGUGCGGCUGAUCACACUUCUCUCUAAAACCUGGUCAUUCUUGUGGGGGGUUCCCCUCCACGUGUCCUUUCCAGACUCAAGACCCUUUGGUCGACCAGGGCAAACGUGUAACCUGUCUGGACCAAGUUAAGCUCCGUCUAGCAUUAGAAGUAAGAAGUUUUCCUUCUUCCAUAAUGCCAAACAGAAUGGACAAACCAAACUGGUUGACCUUUCAAACAAGUUCGCAAUGCCGGAUGAAAUGGAUAGACCAAGUUGGUUGGACUUUUCAGACGGGUAAAUCAAUCUAGUCAAGUUCUUAGGAUUUUUGACAUGUGUGGUUAACCAUGCUUGAUAUCUGAGCACCGACCUAGCCGGUUGAUGUCUGAGCGUUGGACUAGACGCCAUUUACACCCAAAAGUCAAUGUCAAUUAAUUGUAACACAUAAUCCCAAACAUUGGCAAGCUAAAUGAACAGUUAGCUACACGGUCCAAGAUUUUGGUACAACAGUCAGCAAAUGGCACCAAUCAAAAGCCCUUACUUGAUGUUAUUGCCCAGUCCACGCAGUAAUGACGACGUUGACAGUCCACACAAUUAUCAUUACAAGAUAAGGGCGAUGGCAUCAACUCUAUAUAAAUCCCUCAAGAAGCAUGAAUAAAGUACACACACUCAUUCUCUCCCACAAAAAUAGUUAGAGCUAUCCCCAUCUAACUUAAGCUUCGGAGGGGUGUGCUUGGACCAUUAGUUCAGACAUCCUUCUGUGUAGGGAAAAAGUCCGUCUGACUCCAGUAAAGUUGGACGAACUCUUCAACAAGUACGAACAAGGGAAGAAGUUCACCUAACUCUAGUGAAGUUGGACAAACUUGAAUCCAGUUGGCUCGACACCAACAAUUCUAGGUUGAUAGGUACACAUUGUUUAAAUUUCAACGCAAUUGGCAUAUUAGGCCGUCUUGUCGAAUUAGAAUAUUUUCUAUUUGCUGUUGGUGUUCUUACUGUUGUCAUUCCAGCUCGUGAAGGAUUUGUGAUAGUUGGUUCUGCAUAACAUCUAACUUGUCUAGGUUGUGCUUGGAUUUCCUUCCUCAUUUGCAAAUUCUCCAUUCAUGGCUUCUUUGCUCAUGCUGAGAUGCUAUUCUCAACAUCUUUUCCACAAACAAGGUCAUUGAAGUUGCAAUGAUUAGCACUAUCCUUUUUAUUAUUAUUAUUAUUAGUAUUAAUUUAGCUAUAUAAGUUUAAAAGAUUGCUAAAUAUGGUUCCUUCUUGCUUCAUGGUGUAGGCUUUAUAUGGCCUCUCCCUUUGUCAAUGCUUUAGGCUUUUGGUUAUGCUUUAUUGACUUUAAGGUGCAUGGGACAAGAGUGAUUGAGCUCGACUUUUUAGGGGUAGAUCGAUUAGUUAAGUCGACCUGCAAGUCUUAGGUGGGUUGUCUUUCUUUCAGGUCCUUGGUUUGGAGUGAGGUGAUUUUGUGAAGGGAAACUUGUGUUUAGGGCUGGUAAUAUCACAAUAUUAUGAGAUUGAAAACCCAACUUUUCAUUUUUUAAUAUGAGAUCGAAAACUAUUUUUUAAUACCCAAUAUGCCCUCCUCUUUCUGCCAGGUCAACCUCCACGUGGAAAAAAAAAAAAAAAACAAAAACUAAAAAUAAAAAGAACAACUUAAUAGCAACCGAACCUUCUUCCAUCUGAGUGUGCUCUAGUAUUACCUCCACCAUAACUCAUCCCAAACUUCUUCACGUCCAUCCGCGGACUCCCCACUGUUGGGUCAACUGCUCCUCUCCCACCACGUGUCGCUAGAUCUUCCGCCCACCUCACCAUCCUCUCAAUGUGCCACGUCAUGCUCUGGUGCUGCAACCUUGUCGGUGUCACUAUCAAUGACGUCGUUUCAUUGCAGUCACCGUGGCGAUGGCUGAGGAACCUUGACUCUAUGUAUCGCAUUAGCGUCUCCCCCGAGUCGAGGUUCCCUCGAUAGCCGCUAAUGAUGAGCCGCAACCGUGACUGCGAUGAAACGACGUCGUUGAUAGUGAUGCCGACAAGGUUGCAGCACCGGAGCAUGACGUGGCACAUUGAGAGGAUGUUGAGGUGGACGGAAGAUUUGGCGGCACGUGGUGGGAGAUGAGCAGUUGACCUGACAGUGGGGAGUCCACGGAUGGAAGUGAAGAAGUUUGGGAGGAGUUAUGGUGGAGGUGAUGUUGGAGCACGCUUAGAUGGAAGAAGGUCCGACAGCUAUUAAGUUGUUCUUUUUAUUUUUGGUUUUUUUUUUCCACAUGGAAGUUGACCUAGCAGAAAGAGGAGGACAUAUUGGGUAUUAAAAAAUAGCUCAACCAAAGUGCAUGAAGCCUAUAUUAUUUUUGGGAUUAGAAUAGUUAUAUUAAAAAAAUGAAAAGUUGGGUUUUCAAUCUCAUAAUAUUGUGAUAUUAUCAGCACCAAACACAAGUUUCCGUUUUGUGAACCCUCAAAGUCAAAGUCUCCUUUUUCCCUUUAGUUCUAAAUUUUUUCAUUAAAUAAGGAUUUACUUAUUUUUUUAUUUUUGAAAAGAAACUGAACUAAACGUUACAGUAACCUUACUAUAACCCUAAAAUGUCUUGGUAAUUACGUGGCUAUCCAUGUUCAGAUUGGUUGUUUAUAUGGAAGCACAACAGAAGACGUCCUCACAGGUAUGAGGAUACAGGCAAGAGGUUGGAAAUCCACAGAUUGCCGGCCUGACCCUCCUGCAUUUCUUGGGUGCGCACCCUCAGGAGGGCCUGCUGCACUUACCCAACAGAAGAGAUGGGCCACUGGCCUCCUUGAGAUCCUGUUCAGCAAGAACAGCCCAUUCAUUGCCGCCUUCACUGCAAAGCUCCAAUUUCGCCAAUGCCUUGCAUACCUGUGGUUUAUUUCAUGGGCUUUACGGUCAAUUCCCGAGCUUUGUUAUCUUGCUUUGCCAGCAUAUUGCAUCAUGGCCGGCUCACAUUUCUUGCCCAAGGUGAGCAAAACUAAAACCAUUCAGUUUUCCUCUUAAAUGCAUACAUAGCAUUAGUAGUAGUACUUCACCAACCUUUGUUUUAUCAUCAUUGACGCAGGUCCAAGAGCCAGCUGUGUUGAUACCAAUAUCCCUCUUUGUCAGUUACAAUUUUUACACUCUAUUUGAAUACUAUGGAGCUGGGUUUUCAAUCCGAGCAUGCUGGAACAAUUUGAGGAUGGGGAGAAUAACCGCAGUGACUGCAUGGUUAUUUGGAUUUUUCAGUGUCAUUCUAAAGCUCCUGGGGUUAUCGGAGACCGUCUUUGAAGUUACAAAAAAGGACCAAUCUACUACUCCUGGUGAAGGCAGUGACAAGGAUGCUGGUCGAUUCACCUUUGAUGGGUCUCUGAUUUUUGUUCCGGCCACUACUCUUUUGUUGGUGCACCUGAUGGCACUUGUUACAGCCUUGUUAGGACUAUUUGAUCAUGUCGGGAUCGAAUCAAGAAUAGGGGAGAUAAUAUGUAGCGUGUGGGUGGUGCUAUGCUUCUCGCCGUUUCUUAAAGGCCUGUUUGGGAAAGGAAAAUAUGGGAUACCCACAUCCUCCAUAAGCAAGUCAGUAGCUUUGGCAUUGCUUUUUCUUGCUUGCACUACUACAGUAAGAAAAUGAUUUUAUUGAAAACCGUACUGUUUAUUAAGCAUAAUUGUUAAUCAAGUGUGUUAUGACAAGUAUCAUCCGGUUCAGUGUACGAACAAAUUUGUUGCAAUUAUAAAGGCAGUUUGCUUUUCACCAUUGCCGUAGCAGCAGCAGCUCCAUGAACUGAAAUGAAGAAAUGAUCACAAGCAGUUAAAACUAUCCAAAAGUUUAUACAGUUGAAAAUUGGCGUAAGGUUAAAUAGAAUAAAAAUAUUUGAAAAAGUGAGAUCAACCUUUUACUUUUUCAACCAAAAAAAUAUAUUAAAAUGCAUUUUAUUUGAUAUGAGUUUAAUUAAUAUAUUUUAAAAAAUAUAAUGACUAAAGAACCUUAUUUAACAUUUUCAUAAAUUUAAAAAGUAAGUAAUUUAACAAUAUUGUAUGGGUGGAAAUAAUACAUAUAUACCCUUGUUUAAUUGAACGUAUUUUCUCUUUUGCUUCUCUUUCUUCUUUGAAUUAGAUUAUUUAGUCAUUACUAUCAAAAUAAGAGUAAUUUCUCUUAUUUCAAAAGCCAAAAGGUAAAACAAAUUUCCUUUAUAAGUUUUUGUCAAACUUAGGUGGUAUUUAUUUUUUGGUUAAAUAAAAAAGGUCAAAAUAUUUAGGUUUUUUUAUUCGGUUAAAACUAUAUAUUGUUAAUUUGUUCAUAUUUAGCUGUUGUAAGUUUUUAAAAUUAGAAAUGAUGUGAGUGACAAAAAAAAAAUCAUCAACAAGAUAUUUGAAUGCUCAUGAAUAACGGGGUGGGAGGGGAUGGGUGUGGUUCAUGGUGGUGGUGCUUGUGGGCCUAAGGUUGCCUCUUAGGACAUUUAAAUGCCCUCUUGGGUAUUUGAAUGCUUGCCCUUAAUUAUCUCUUUAUUUUUGCAAUAUUUUGAGUUUUUCUCCAUUCUUAAUGCCCUUAAUUAUCUCUUUAUUUUUGCAAUAUUUCGAGUUUUUCUCCUUUCUUUUCAUCCUAAUUUCAUAUUUUAGUUAUUCUAUAAGUUUUAUCAACUUUAGAUGCAUACACACUUAAAAAGACAAUGAUUUUGAAAUGGUUUGAGGUUAGCUUUAAAGUAGUCCGAAGUUAAAUAGAAGGUUAUAAGAUGUAAAGAAAUAUGUCACAUCCAAUCAAUAAAAAAUAUAGCAAAAUUGCCAACUAAACCUUACAUAUCAACAAGCUAAUACGAAAAGAAAUUAGUUCCCUCCUAUGAUAAAAAACUUAGGAGUGUAAUUAAUCCUAUAAGGAUUUUUGAUAUUAUCUUUUAGAAAAGAAAAUUGGUUUUAAAAAUCACCGACAGGGAUUAAGAUCAAGUGGUAUUAGACUCGGUUUUUACCAAAUGAUAAAAAGCUCAAGUGUGUAGUUAAUCCAAUAUGUAUGUAUGUAUGUAUGUAUGUAUGGAGAGAUAGAAAUCAACCUCCUUGUGCAAUUGCAGUUGCCAUAAUUAUUGUCGUGUAAUGAAUAUUGUUUCAUGUGGUUCAUCUUUGAAACCCUACAAUCACUACCUACCCAAGGUGAAAUGAUAUUCUAUUUUGGUAAUGCUUUAUCUAAGCAUGAUAAUAAUUGACAAGGAGUAAAACAUGUAAAAACAUUUUCCUAUUUGAUUUAGGUCGAGGGUUAGUAGCUAGACACAUCCACCAUUCCUCCCUUCACACCUAGCUACUUUAUUGAGAAAAAUAAAAAAGAAAGAGCAGGUGUAGGGAGAGAAAAAAUAAGUGUAUUUAACAACAUCCUAAGUCAUUAAUAUAUAUAAUUGAUAAAAAAAAAAUUGAAUUACCUUCAAAGAUACUCAAGAAUCCUAAUUUGACUGCUUCAUUGACAAGUUUUUUGUGUCAAGUUAUGAAUGAAAUAAGAUAUAAAAAUAAUUUGACUUUGAAUUUUUUUUUUUUUACUUUUUCUUUUAUUUUAUUUUUCCUUUUUAUUUUCUUUUCCUCUCAGUUUCCUCAAAAUUUUGCGAGAGCCAAACAUAACAUUAAUAUUUUGAUACCUUAGACCUUGAAUUUUAGGCACUAGUGAGUGACUUUCAUGGUAAAAAGGAGACAAUGAAAAUUCGGGCAACAAUACUAAUUUAGAAAUAUAUGUGCCCAAAAACAUUUCUUCUUAAGGCCAAUGUUUGUUUUAUUUGUGGAGUCUCUUUCCCUUUCUCUAGCUUGAUGAUCAGAGGUUUUGUGGUCGAUGGGGGCAGGAGGUCUCACCUUGAAUUGUGUGAUUGCAAAGACUGAUUUAUUGAGCCAAAUCCAAGGAAAGAGAGAGAGCCAAAAAAAGAAUCAUAGUAUUAAGCCAAAACAUUGAACUAAAAGAAAGUUUUAGAAUGCAAUAACUUCAUGUUUGUGUUACAAACCGGGCUCGGUUUGAUUGUUGAGAAAAUGGGAGGAAAACACAGGAAAGACGGUUUUCAAUCCUAUGUUGUAAAUAUUAACAGGGUUGUAGGCUCCAAUUGGCAGUUUAGACAAUCUAGGAGACAAAAGAAAAGCAUGUUCAAAUCUAUGUGGUACCUAUUUUCUCUAUUUUAAAAUUAAAAAAAAACGAGUAACUUUUAUAAAAGAUAUAAUAAUUCUUAAAGGUUUAUGGAAAGCAAUGAUUUAAAAACAGUCUAAAAAAAUUCAAAUAUAAAAUCUUUUUAUGACCUUAAAUUUAAAAAUUCUUAAAAGUGAUUUUUAACUAUAUAAAUUAAAUACAUACAUUUUAUAGAAAAUAUUAUGGGUGACAAAGUUUGAUAUGAUUUACUAACAUAAUCCGAACCCAACAUAUAUUUCACUGGUUUGGAUCAAAUUCGUAUUGACUUGUUAAACUCAUUUAAUAAAUAGGUAAUUUUUGGAUUAACUUGCAUAACAUGAAUUUGUUCCAUUUAAUAAUCUUGCUAUUAAUUUAAUUAUAUCUUAAAACUAUUUAACUUAUAUUUGAUUUAUUUUAAAUUUAUUUUUAAAUAAAUAGAUCAAUUGAAUCAUAAAUAUAUUUAAUUGAAAUAUUAAUCAUAUAAACAUAUGGACAACUUAACUCAAUAUAAUUAUUAUAUAGGAAAACUAAUUAUUAAAUAGGUUAAAUGGGUUGUUAAACUUGUUACCUAUUUAAUUAUUAGGUAUUAUUUGAGUUUAUGUUUUUGACAUGAUUAUUAUUUAUAUCGGGUUUGGGUUGAGUUAUAUAUUAAAAUACCUAAACUUUGACACAAUACAAACAUGACCAAUCAACACAAAUUACCACCCCUACAAAAUAUUUUACUUUUAUAUAUAAAAGUUUUUAGGACUUUAAAAUAAUAAAAUAUUUAGUUUAUCCAAACUAAUACCAAAUUUUUCAUGCAAGCGAAAAUUAAAUGAUCUAAUCAACCAUUACUAAGACAACUAUUUGGUAGAACAAAAUCAACAAACAUAUAGUUAUUUCCAUUCUUGUUUUAAGCAACUAAAAAGCAAACAAUUUAACAUAUCUGUGAAAAAAAAAAAAAAACUAAAACCAAAUAUUCCGUUAAGUUAAAGAAUAGGAAAAAAGAAAGAAAAUUUAAAAAAUUUCUAGAAUUGCACUAUAUUUUGCCUCUAGAAGGUAAUUAAAAAAAAAGACCAAUGUUAACAAAUUUGUUUUUUAGAAAAAAAGGAAGAAGAAAACACUAAAACCAAAUCUUCCCGUAUGGUUAGAAUAGAGAAAAUGGAAGAAAAUUUAAAAUUUGGAAUUGCAAAAACAACUUCAACAAAUUUAUAAAACACAGGAAACACUAAAACGAAAUAUUCCAUUUGGUUAGUGAAUGAAGGAAAAUAGAGAAAAUUUAAAAUUCUGGAUUUAACAGAGGUGAGUUUUGUGGUUCUUUAAUUUAUAUUAUAUUAUUAUUAAGGAAUAUUUGGUUAAAAUGGGCAAAAGAAGCCCUCGUAAUUAAUCAUUUUUAUACCAAAUUACCCUCAAACCAUCACCUAUUAAUACAACGACAUUAUUUCAUUCCAAAUUCAAAGCAAUGCCUAUUGUACCUUCUUAAAAUUAAGUUAAAUGUCAAUGGACACAUACAAUACGUCCAGACACUUCUUAUUGAUUUUCAUAACCCCACCAUGCAAAAAUGGGAUAUACAUUUAAAAUGGAUGUCAAAGAAGGGUUAAAGUCAAAUAAUAUUUUUCACAAUAUACAUACUAUAUAUAGGAAUGUGGUAUAAUUAAUUCUUGACAUCUGGUAGACAAAGAAUAUUUCAAAAAACUUAAGAACAAAUAUGUAUAAAAUAAAGAGAUCCCAACAUCCCAAGUAAAUAAUUGUUAUAAUGGAUGCAAAUUUUGGACUACUAGUUAAUAUCAACAAUGGGUUUAAAAAAGUAUCUAAAAAUAUCAAAUUUAAAUAUUUGUACUUGUGGUAUACGAGAUGUUGCUUAGUCAAUUAGUUAUGAAAUACCAUUAACUCUAUGUGUAUUAUCAAUAUCUCUACAUGGGAUUCAUUGAGAUAUAAACUUUUCCCUUAUUUUUUUUGAGAAGAGAAGGGAAACAUACUCAAUAUUAUUUGAUUGAAUAGUUGACAUAACUCCUUAUUAUUUGAAGAAACCCUUCACUUUAAUUAAUACUUUUUAGGGAUUCAAUUUGGAAGGAGGAAGGUCGGUUAUAAGUUAAAUGUUAGAAAGAUUAAAAUCAAUGGGUGCUGGAGCUGCUACAAUUGCUUUAGCCACAACUUUUCCCACCCAUGUUGACUUUAUUAAGGUAAUCCAAAAGAGUUUAGAAGUCAUCUCUAAACUAUAAAAAGAUAAAAUCAAUCGAUUGUUAUUGAUUUUGAUAGCUAACUAAAUUUUGGGUUGUUUGAUCAAGUAAGGUAAACACGAUAGAAUUCAUAACUGUCUUGAUGUUAUGUUUUUUUCUUUUUAAUUUAAUUCAAAUCUAUUUCUUCACUAUACGUAAUUUAUACCUAGCUUAUUUUUUAAGUUUAAGCUCUCUCGAGGGACAAAAUUAGCUGCAAGAGUUCUUUCAUCUUUUUUUCUUCUUUAAUAUUGUCAAAUCCUCCAUUUGAGUUCUUCCAUGUUUUUUUUUCCUUCUUCAAGAUUGUUACAUUUUCCAUUUUUUUUAAAAUUUUUUGUUGAGGUUUUUUGUAGCUGUUUUUUAUUGCAAUUUUUUUUACAUUUGUUUUUUAGUUGGGUUUUUUUUUCGUAGCUUUUUUUUUGUUAGGGUUUGUAGUUGCUUUUAUUAGGGUUUUUUGGGUGUUGUUUUUUAUUAGGGUUUUCUAUCUAUAUAUAUAUAUAUCUAUAUAUAUAUAUAUAUAUAUAUAUUGUGAUUUUUUACAAUUUCAUUUAAACUUCUAUGUUGUUUUUGGCUAGAGGUUUUUAUAGUUGUUUUUUUUGCAUUUAUUUUUUGUUGGGAUUUUGGCAGGAGUUUUUUGUAGUUUUUUUUUUUAUGGGGUUUUUUUGUAGUUGAGUUUUUAUUAGGUUUUGAACAUGAGAUCAAAUAAAUGAACAUCUAAUUAAGAUUUAUUGAUAAAAUAAAAAUUAAUGUCAUUUAAGUUCUUUUAAAAUGAAACUUAAUCAUAGUACAAUUUAGGUUAUAAUAAUCAAGUUCUUUGUAGAUGAAAGGGAAACUUAACCUUAAUUAAGAUCUUUCUAAAUGAAACUUAACUAUAGUAUAAUUUAGAUUAUCAUUAUAAUAGAGAACUAACCUUAUUUAGGUUUUUUUGUAGGCUUAACUUAAUUCUGGUGUAGUUCAAUUGAACACCCACAAUGAAAAAUUUAUCUUAGUAAGAAAAGCAAACUAAAAAGAUAAAUAUAUUAUAAAAAAAUGAUGAAAUGCAUAAAGCGAAAACAAAAAGUGGGAAGGUGAUGUUUUUGGAGCAGUGUAGUUCAGAUGAACACUUUGAACAAAAAUGAAAACAAGUUGUUUGAGAGAUAAAACAAUAGAUAGAGCAUUAUGAGAGGAGAAAGAAUUUUCUCAAAGCGUCAUGAAGGGAAAUAAAAAUAAAACAAAUUUAAAACAUAAUAGAUGGCAACAAUUACUAUUGUUGGUUGGAUGAAUUGUAACAGGUAAAGGAACAGUGGCUUGGAUUUAGUUAGAUGUGGAACACAACAGUGAGCCAUCAGAAGCACGAGACCAAUGGGCACAAGAGUAAGGAUGGAAUAAUUUUUCUCUCUUAUUCUAAGGGCUGGGGUGGGGGGACUUUUAUAGGUAAAGUUCUAAGGAGACUCUCCUCUAAAAGUUGAAUGUCUAAAAUUAAUUUAAAAUAGUUUACCUAUUCCAGUCCAUUAACAUGUUCUCAAAACCUAAUUCCAUACUCCAACUACGGAGGACCCAGUGAAAGACUUAUAUAUCCAAAAGGAAAAACCCUUAAAAUUAAUAAAAAAGAAUCAACUUUUAUUUUGUAAACGAAGGUUAAAAUUGGGAACAUAGGAACCUCUAUGCUUGACGAAGAUUUUCUAGAUUGGGUUACUUUAAAUCCUACUUGAUAGGCCUGGACUCCUUGGGCACGCGAGACCCCUACUUCCCUCUCGACAAGUGUUCAAUCCCCUUUCAAUGUAGAAUUGUCCAUUUUAGCUUGAGCAGUCCAAUACACACACCCACAUGCAUUUUUUCCGGACGCUCUUUUCUCCUUAAAAGUAAAACAUUUUGUACAAAAAGUAUAAAUUUAUUUUAUGUUCUUAAAAAUCACUUUAACAAUUUUAACUUUUGAGGUAAUAAACUUUUUUGAUACCUAAUUUUUUUUAUACCUUUUUUAAAACCACUACAUUUUUUGUGUAAGUCUUUUAAGAAUUCUUGUACUUCAUGUAAAAGUUACUAUUAUUUUUUUUUUAUUUAAAAAAUAUAAAACAAGAAGUAUAUCCAAAUAGAUACUAAAUUUAGUAUUAACUUUCAUUAAAUAUUAAGUAAUGAGCUAUGAGAUAGACAAUUAAGGGAGCCAAGAUGAAUUAAGGGAAAUUGAUUUCUUUCAACUCUUUUUAGUACUUUGAAAGGAUAUUUUUGGCAGUGAUUUGGGUAAAAGUCUUUUUAGUCUUAGUGGUUUUCGUGGUAAAACUUGUAUAAUAAAUACUAUUAUGGAUACUUAUAGCCUAUUUGGGACUAUAUUCGAAAACAAAAAAUUGUUUUUUUAGAAUUGAAAAUACAUUUCAUAAAUUUUUAAUGGAAAGUAGUUUUUUUAAAAAAAAAACUUGUUAUGAAAAGAAAGUGUUUUUGAAAACAUAUAUAUUUUAACUAUUUUAAAUUGUUUUCACUUAUCUGCUAAGGAUUGUUUUAAAAAUAGUUAUGCAAACAUGAAAGGAUUGAAAACAAAGCAUUAUAGAUAAAAGUUUUUAUUUGUAUUUUUUUUUAAAUUUGGAAACAUACAAAAAACGCAAUGCGAAUAUACCAAGUUUCUAGAUAGUUUUUUGUUCUAAAUAAUAUCAGAGAACUAUUCUCAAUUUUUUUUUCCUUUUUGAAAAUUGUAAGUUCUCAAACAGGUCUUUAGUAUUUGAAAAAAAAAAAAAGUUUUUCAUAGCAUUAAUUUUGGCAAUUUGUAUAAUAAAAAAUGAUUUUCAAAGGAAACGUCAAUCAAGUCCUAAUAUAAAAAAUGAUUCUCUAGAUUUUUAAUUAAAAAUAAUCUUUAGUAUGAAGGAAAGAAUAAGCUCUGAAUUUCAUAUAUCAUACACAAAGCGGGCCAUGUGACCUUCAAAUAUGUAACGGUAAUAGUAAUAUUGUCAUAUUUUGUCAAUUGUCCCCAGAAAACUCCAAAUUGCAUGCGCUUAAUAUAUGUUGAAUACAUCGAUGUAAUCGGACAUAAAACAUUUAUAUUGUAGCAGCAAUAUAAGUAAAGGCUAUACUUGUAUGUCCAAUGAGAAAAAAACAAGAGGAAAAACUACUGUUGGGUUUGUUUUGCAAGGAAUGGUCAGCACAACUGUAAGUGCAAUAACACCUCCGCAAACUGCCUACACCAUUUGUCCAACAAGUAUCCUCCUCCAUUUUCCAAUGGCCAAACCAAUCUCCUAACCUCUCUACGAAAAAAUUCCCCAGAAAAACACUCUCCAUAGAGCCUUGGAACUCACCAUCUUCUUCCUUCUCCUCUCUCUCCUUGCUUAUCGUCUCCUCUCCCUAAAAAACAAUGGCUUCACUUGGCUCCUCGCCUUCCUCUGUGAGUCAUGGUUCGCCUUUAUUUGGAUUCUUAACUUGAGCCCCAAAUGGAAUCCUGUGUCCUACAAAACAUACCCUGAACGCCUUCUACAAUGUUAUCGGUAUCCAAUAAUUCUCUUAGUAAAACUCUUCAUGCGCUUUGGUGUUUUUUUCUGCCUUCAAAUUUUAUAUACAACCAUACUUGCGAUAUUUCUGAACAGAGAGAGUUGAUGAGCUUCCUCCAGUGGACAUGUUUGUGGCAAUUGCAGACCCCAUGCUGGAACCCCCUAUCAUCAACAAUCCUCUCCUUGCUGGCAGUUUACUAUCCAGAUAACAAGCUUUCUUUCUACGUGUCCAAUGAUGGGGCUUCCCCUCUCACCUUCUUCGUUCUCCUUGAAGCAUCCAAGUUUGCUAAGCUUUGGGUUCCUUUCUGUAAGUAUGGUAUUCAAACUAGAGCUCCCUUUAGAUACUUUUCCAGCGAGUUGGCAUCAUCCCAUGAUAAUUCAAUGGGGUUCCUACAAGAAUACAAAAAGAUAAAGGUAAGUGCGUGAUUCCUAGUAGGAACCAUUAAUACUGGAAAUUAAUUAUAUUAGUUCAGAUGAUUUUUACUAUAAUUUUAAUUACAAUUGUUAAAAUGCAGAUGAUUUUGAAUUUUGAAAUUUCCUUUUCCUUUAGUAUAUUGGAUAUCGAUCCUUUUCUUUUCUAUUUAUAUAUAGACCUUCUUCAGUAAAGAAUUCUACUAGCUAGCUAGUAAGUUACUUUUCCAAACAUACUGGCCUCCUCUCCAUCAUGGUACAGUGAUGCUUUGAUAAAAGCUUUUGCAUAUCUGUCUUUCGUUUAAACAAUUUUGUUCAUCUUCAUCUCCUUUAGGAACGAUAUAAAGAGCUUACACGAAAAAUUGAAGAUGCAACUCUAAAUUCAAAGCCUUAUGAACUUGGUACUGCAGAGUUUGUGGCUUUCUCAAAUGUAGAAAGAAGAAACCAUCCGACCAUAAUCAAGGUAUGUUCAUAUAUAGCUCAUCUGUUAUUUACUUAUUAUUACCUUGUUAAUUGUAGAUCAAAGUAAGCAACCAAUUUAAAAUCUGUUACUUUUAGGUUAACACUGAGAGGACGAGUGGUGGAAAAGGAAGCAUUUGACAAUAUUUCGAUAACCAUGAACGGUGACUUUGUAGGUUAUAUUGCUGAACAAAGAAAGCCGCUCUGAAGGGUUGCCACAUCUAGUCUAUGUGUCUAGAGAGAAGCAUCCCAACCAUCCACACCAUUACAAAGCCAGUGCUAUGAAUGUUCUGGUAAGGAAGCUCCUUGAAUUGGUAUAACUACUGAUAUCCCUUUUUGUUUAAUAAAGAAGAUCCUUCAAUUGGUAUAAUUAAUGAUAUCCCCUUUUUUCCCCUGAUUGUUUCAUGAUAACAGACUAGGGUCUCUGGAGUUAUGACAAAUGCUCCUUUCAUGAUGAACGUCGACUGUGAUAUGUACGCUAACAAUCCACAGAUUUUUCAUCACGAAAUGUGUUUGCUCCUUGGUUCCAAGAAUGAACAGGAAUGCGGGUUUGUUCAGACUCCACAACUCUUCUAUGAUGGACUAAAGGACGACCUAUUUGGAAAUCAGCUAGUAGUGUGGUAUAAGGUAAUUUCAAUAGUGAAGAGCAAUCUCUUCCAUACUAUAGAGCACGUACGCGCAUAUUUUUUUGAUAGCGAGUCCUACGAAAAUCUUGUGCUUAUGUAGAAGCCUAAUUUCUUUUUUGCUUCUUAAUUAAUGUGUUUGAAACAGUAUAUGGGGAGUGGGAUAGCAGGGCUUCAAGGACCUAUGUAUUCUGGAACGGGAUGUUUUCAUCGAAGAAAAGUUAUCUAUGGGUUAUGGCAAGAUGGCAGGAUGGAAAUCAAAGGAAGAAGUGGUAUGCAAAUCAAAUUUUUCAUGGUCAUUCUUCACUGUACAUAUCUUCUUGUUUUCUGUCAUUCUAUGAAACCAUGCAUUGCAAUUUUUCUACUGUUUGGCAGGAAAAUUAACUGAUCAUGAGGGAUUACAAAAAACAUUCGGAAAUUCAAAGGAAUUCACCAGAACAGCAGUAAAGAUUUUAUCAGGGUUGAGCGGGAAUUUGGUAAAUUCUACCACAAGAAUAACAAUUAAAUACCAACAAUUAUGAUAUUUAUAUCUCAUUUAACAUUUUUAAAGCAAAGCUAAAUCAUUUUACACAUUUAGGGUUUCCAAAAACAACCUAAAUGAAAAUUAUAUAACGAUUUGCUACACCCAACAACUCACUCAUUUUCAUGGAAGUUUUUGAAAAUAAAUAAAAGCAAAACAAAAAACCCCAAAAAAAGUCUAAGGAAAAACACAUCCCUACAUGUACCGUAAAAUCUAACCGUGGGAUCGAAAAUCUGACUCCUUAGAAGUGUUCACUGUGCUAAAGACUAUCAUUGCCUGAAAUUUCAUCAUGAUCGAAGUUCGUUUCACCAUUAGAUCAAUGGAGACACACGAAUGACCAUCUCUCUGCAUCUCCUCUAUACUUUCCCUAUUCUUAAAUACUUUUCAAUAAAAUAAGUCAUAAAAAAUUAUAAUAUUUUAAUUAUUUAUAAAAUAUAUUUAUUUUAAUGUGAAUAAUUUUUUUUUAAAAAGAAUCUAAAAAAGUUUCCAAUAUAAGUUUAAUAGGAGAGGAUAAGGUGAGUAUGAAAAAUUUAUAUCCUAUUUAAUUUUUUUAACAAGAUGAUGAUAAAAAAUAUUUUGAAUAAAUAAGAUAAGACAGGGAUAAGCAUCUCUAAUCCAUUUUAUUGCCAUCUCUACACGAUUGAAGAGAAUAUUUUUUGACAUGCAAUUUUUCUUAUAUUUUAUGUUAUUUUCAAAACUCCUUGUACAUUAGAGUUGUAAACAUGCAUGAUUAAUUGAAUAAAUUAGGAUAAAGAUAAUGUCACAUCAAUAUGCAUUCCACAAAAAGGAAGAAAUUGAAUGGGAGCAUGUACCGGCUUCAUCAGCCGGCAAUCAUGCAAAAUUUGGCUGAUAUUUACGUCUAUUGUGGACUUUACACCAAGUUUACUCUAUCAUAUGGGCCAAUUAUCCAUCUCUAUCGCCCUAAAGCAUCAGUAUCCCCUAUUUGUUCUUUUGGGGAAAAAUAUAACAAUCAGGUUGCAGGGUCAAUUUGGUAGGGUACACCUGUCAAGAGUAUUGUGGACGUGGCCGUAAAGUACGACCACUGCACUUGACAUGAUCUCUAAGCCAUGGUUUCUUCCACAUGAAUUUUCUUUUUUCUGAAUUAUGUUCAACGAUAUCAUCAUGGAUUUGCCUGCCACGCUUCUAUAAUUCAAUCUUGAGUUACCUUGAAGAUCAUGCAUGCUUUUGUCUUCCACAUUCAUUUUUCCAAAUCUUUCAUGCAGCUAGAUGAUUAAUUGCAAAUUUAUGUUGAUUAACUCUUGUAUUUUUUUAUCAUGCACGAUACACACGUAAACUCAGUCUUAAUUAUUUUACAAAUAACAUUUUGUUAAAUUAAUUACACUUUACAACAAAAAAAACUUGGAUUAUAAUACAAAUGUCCAUAUCAAAGGAAGUUCUACAGACAUUAUAAUUAUAACUCGGAUGAGUUAGAUGAGCUAGAAGACUAAUUUGUUUCAAAUCUACUAUCAACUUGUCCAACCCAAACCACAUCUAAUUAACUCAAGGUUGGAUCGAAAAUUAUUAAUCCACUCCAAGUCCUAUACAAUUGAGGUUCCAGUUCUUACAAGUUAUUGAGUAAGAUAAUUAUUUUAAAGUCUAUAUCAAAUAAAAUAUAUUAUAAAAUAAAAUAUUACAACUUAAAUGUCUCAAAGUUUUAAACCAUGUCCUUUAGCCAUUGAUUUAAUGUAUAUGACACCUGACCAACUAAAAUUUCAACAUUCGAAAAUAUUCUAACAAUUAGAGUCAUGACCUACAAAAGUGAGAAAUAUUAGACUUUAUAUGUGUAUAUAUAUAUAUAUAUAUAUAUAUAUAUAUAUAUAUAUAUAUAUAUAACAAUAAAUAAUAUAAUUUUAAGUUAAUAAAUAAAUAAUAAUGUAUAAAUAUGGGUUUCCAUGGGUUGUCUAAAUGAUUAAACUGUGGCAAUAUUAAUAUUUUAUGGUUGAUGGUUUUCUAACCCAAGCACCAAGCUAACCCAUUUAAACCUUACCCACAUCAAUUGGAACUGGGGUGAACCCUCGAAGUUGCAGUCCAAAGAGACGUAAAUUAAGGUGUCGAUUAAAUUCAAAGAUUAAUAUUUAAUUACCUAAAAUAAUUUAUGAAAUUUUCUUUAUUUGAUGACUUAAAACUUAUCAUUUAAUCUUAAUUUUUCAGUAUCAAGAUUACUUAAUAAAAUUAACUUAAAUUUUUUUAAAUUAGCUAUCAAAUUUAACAUAUUAACUUUUAUUAAUAUUAAGUCAUGACCAAUGAGAGAGACAAUUAAGGGAGCAAGAUAUAAUAGUUGUGAUAUAAAAUUGAUGAGAACUAUAUUGAAAACUGUUUUUACUUUUCUUUUGACUUUUUUUUACUCUUAAGGAUCAUUUUGACCUAUAUAGUUCUUUGUUAGGAAAACUCUUAUAGUAAAUACUUUUAUGAAUAUUUAAUAUUUGGCAAUAAAUAAAUAAAAAAAGUUCUUGAUGAUAUAUGUAUGAUUAAAAAAGUGAUUUUUAGAAAAACUUUUACCAAAUCUUUGUAUAAGAUGUGAUUUUAAAAUUUCUCAAAGAUAGUUUUUGAAACUUAAUCAAAUACAUAUUAAAAAUAAGUAGUUUUAGCAUUUUCAGAGUCAUACCCAAAUAAACUUUUAGGUAUUCUUGACUUUAAAUAGCCUUAUUGAGUCCUAUUGACUAAUAAUACUAAUUAUAUCUGUCGGAGGGACAGCUGGGAAAUCCACGAAUGCAUGCGGUAUAUGUUGAAUAAAAUCAAUGUGUAUUAUGCAUCACACAUUUAUAUUGUAGUAGUAAUAAUAGGAAUAUGGCUGUUUAAUUAAACUACACUAGUAUGUCCAGUGAGAAAAAACAAGAGGAAAAUUGAAAAACUACUGUUGGGUUUGCUCUGCAAGGAAUGGCCAGCACAACUAUAAAGCCUGUCUAACCCGGCAACUCUUAAGGUAUCCUCCUCCAUUCUCGAAUGGCCGCACCAAUCUCACCUCUCUAUGAAAAAAUCCUCCAGAAAAAUACACUCCAUAGAGCCUUGGACCUUACCAUCUUCUUCCUUCUCCUCUGUCUCCUUGCUUAUCGUCUCCUCUCCCUAAAAAACAAUGGUUUCGCUUGGCUCGUCGCCUUCCUCUGUGAGUCAUGGUUCACCUUUCUUUGGGUUCUUAACUUGAGCUCCAAAUGAAAUCCUGUGUCCUACAAAACAUACCCUGAACGCCUUCUACAAUGUUAUCGGUAUCCAACAAUUCUCUUAGUAAAACUCUUCAUGUACUUUGGCGUUUUUUUCUGCCUUCAAUUUUCAUAUAUGACCAUACUCUUGAUUUUCAGAACAGAGUUGAUGAGCUUCCUCCAGUGGACAUGUUUGUUACAACUACAGAUCCCAUGCUGGAACCCCCUAUCAUCACUGUAAACACUGUCCUCUCCUUACUGGCAGUUGACUAUCCAGCUAACAAGCUUUCUUGCUAUGUGUCGGAUGAUGGAGCUUCCCCUCUCACCUUCUACGCUCUCCUUGAAGCAUCUAAGUUUUCUAAGCUUUGGGUUCCUUUCUGUAAGAAGUAUGGUAUUCAAACUAGAGCUCCCUUUAGAUACUUUUCCAGUGAGUUGGUAUCAUCGAAUGAUAAUUCGAUGGAGUUCCUACAAGAAUACAGAAAGAUGAAGGUACGCAAACUAUUCCUAGUAUGAACCAUAGGUACUUGGUGAAAUUUAAUUUUUGCUUCUUUACUUUUAAUUACAAUUCUUAAAAUGCAGAUGAUUUGGAAUUUGGAAUUUUCUUUUCCUUCAGCAUAUUGAGUAUUGUAAAGUGUGAUUAAAGGGUCAAAGCUUAACCCUAAUUGAUAUUCAUCCAUGUAAAUAUAUAGUACAUCAAGCAAACCUAAUUAAGGGAAAACCGUGAGUUUAGGAAACAUUCCUAAACAAUGCCGUGAGUUUAGGAAACAAUCCUAAACAAUAGCUCCUAGAAUAUAUCAUAAUAUCUCAACAUUUAGGAAACAAUCCUAAACAAUAGCUCUUAGAAUAUAUCAUAAUAUCUCAACAUUUAGGAAACAAUCCUAAACAAUAGCAACUACUUUCCUAGAAUAUAUCAUAAUAUCUCAACACCCUCCCUCAAGUUGGAGCAUGAGGUUCAAAAAUGCCCAACUUGGCAAGAAGAUAAUCAAAUUGUUUCUUUCCAAGAGCCUUUGUAAAAAUAUCGGCCAAUUGUGUAACAGUAGGAACAUAUGACGGAGCAAUCAAACCAUCUGUUAUCGCAUCCCGAACAAAGUGACAAUCAACCUCAAUGUGUUUGGUGCGUUCAUGAAAUACUGGAUUUUUGGCCAUAUGAAGGGCUGACUGACUAUCACAAAAGAGCUUGAUUGCCUUUGGGUGGUGCACACCCAAGCUCAGAAGCAACCCCUUCAACCAUUUGAGCUCACAAGUAACUGCUGCCAUAGCUCGGUAUUUCGCUUCUGCAGACGAGCGGGAAACUGUGUGUUGCUUCUUUGUCUUCCAAGAAAUAGGAGAUUGCCCAAGAAACACAAGCCAUCCAGACAAAGAGCGUCUAGUGACUGGACAUGCUGCCCAAUCAGAAUCACACCAACCCUGCAGGGACAUAUCACUAUCUGCACGUAACAAGAUACCCUGACCCGGAGUACCUUUCAAAUAACGAACGACUUUCAAAGCCGCCUCCCAAUGCUCAAUUCUAGGCUCCUGCAUAAAUUGAGAUAAUAUAUGAACCGAGUAGGCCAAAUCUAGAUGGGUCACUGCCAGAUAAAUGAGUCGACCUACUAAUCUGUGAUAGGACUCAGGGUUCGACAAGAGCUCCCCAUUUGCGAGUCCUAAUCUGUGAUUUUGCUCGAUCGGGAAGCCACACGGCUUGGCUCCCAGUAAUCCGGCCUCCGAUACAAUGUCAAGUGUGUACUUGCGUUGACACAAGAACAAACCAGCCGAACUCCUGGCCACCUCGAUUCUGAGGAAAUACUUCAAAACACCAAGAUCUUUCAUCUUAAAACAAUCACUGAGAAAGGCUUUAAAGGUCUUAAGUGCAGCGGAAUCAUUCCCAGAGAUAAUAAGAUCGUCGACAUACACUAGCACAUUUAUUUGAACAUUGCCCUUAGUGUAAGUAAAAAGAGAAUAAUCAGAGUAGGAUUGUAAGAAACCAUAUCCUUUGAGAGCCGUGACCAACUUGGCAAACCAACAUCUCGGAGCCUGUUUCAACCCAUAAAGUGAUUUCCGUAACCUGCAAACCAAGUUCGGAUCGGAACUCUCAAAUCCUGGGGGUAGCUUCAUAUACACUUCCUCCUCAAGAUCUCCAUGCAAAAAGGCAUUGUGAACAUCCAUCUGAUGAAGUUCCCAAUUUUUCGAAGCCGCAAUAGCCAAGAAAGCACGCACCGUAGUCAUUUUGGCAACUGGAGAAAAAGUCUCAUGAUAAUCAAUACCGGCUUCUUGAUGAUUCCCCAAAACUACUAAUCUGGAUUUGAGCCUUUCAAUAUCACCGUUUGAGAAGUACUUGGUUCUGUAAACCCACUGACUUCCCAAAGCACGCUUACCCUUUGGAAGAGGUUCAAGAGUCCACGUACCAUUUUCCUCCAAAGCCCGAAUCUCCUCAUGCAUUGACUUUUGCCAACCGACAUCUUUCAUAGCCUCUUUAAAUGACUUAGGAUCAUUGCUCGAAAUAAUAGCUGCAAGAAACUUUUGAUAAUGUAUAGAAAAAUUGUCACAAUUUAUAUAAUGUGCUAUGGGAUAAGGAGUACCUGAGGGAUGCUGUGGAGAUGGAGUGGCGGGAGAUGGACUUUCAGCAACCACCGUAUGAGUAACAAAAUCUCGUAAUAGAACCGAAGGAAAUUUAUCCCUCAUUCCCUUUCCCAUAGGAGCAGACUGCCCAUUGCUUGUAUUGUCAAGCCCAAGUGAAUCAAGCCCAACAGUGGGAACAACUUCCGGCCCAGGUGAAAGAUCUUGGUGGGCUUGGGGUUCAGGUUGGAUGAGGUUGGGAUUUUGUGUUUGGGCUUGUGGGUUAGGUAAAUCAGCAUCAUCAUCGACAAAAUCAGCAAAAUCACUAUCAAUUUCAACAUUUACCGUAGGCACAAUGUUGUCCGGAAUAAUAUUCACAGCACCUAGGUUACCAAACGGAAAAACAUCCUCAAAAAACUUGACAUCACGAGAAACAAAUAAUUCCUUGGUGUCCAAAUCAAACAACUUCCACCCCUUCUUUCCAAACGGGUAACCCAAAAACACACAUUUUCUACUUCUACUUGCAAAUUUGUCACUUUUGGAUUUUUGAUCAUGAGCAAAACUAAGACAACCAAAGGUGUGAAUUGCCGCAUAUGAAGGAGGGGUGCCAAAUAGGAUUUCAAAUGGUGUUUUAUUGUGUAACAAAGGAGAGGGAGUGCGGUUUAUUAAAUGAGCAGCGGCAAGAACACUUUCGCCCCAAAAAUAAAUAGGCAAAUUUGCUUGAAAGCGUAAUGCCCUCCCCACAUUUAAAAUAUGCUUGUGUUUUCUCUCAACCCUCCCAUUUUGUUGUGGAGUUCCCACACAAGAAGUUUGGAAUAAAAUGCCAGUUGCAGAAAAAUAGUCAAGUAGGCAUUUAAAUUCCGUACCAUUAUCACUUUGAACAACUUUCACUAUUUGAGAAAAUUGUCGAUCUACCAUUGCAAUAAAAGACAUAAACAUCCGAAAAACUUCUGUUUUAUCGACCAACAAAUAAAUCCACACAGCUCUUGAGAAAUCAUCAACAAUAGUUAAAAAAUAACGAGCUCCACAAGAAGAGACAUGUUUAUAAGAGCCCCACAAAUCACAAUGUAUUUUCUCAAAAAUUCUAGUUGUCUUAUUGUCACUUAAAGGAAAUUUGUCUCUAGGAUGCUUAUCACGAAAACAUAUUUCACAAGCUUUGUUUAAACUACCCUUAAGAUUGCUAACUGGAGGAAGUAACUUCACUACUUUCUCUGAAGGAUGUCCCAUCCUUUUGUGCCACAACUCCAAAGUGGAGGCUGCGUUGUGGACAGAAACAUGUUGUACCGAAUCACCUUCAGCUCCACCGAAGUAGUAAAGUCCAUCUCGCCUAACUCCCGUUCCAAUCAGUUCCCUGGUGUGAUCCUUUAUAGCACACAUAUAAGAGUUAAAUUGGACAAUACAAUGUAAGUCAUCAAUCAAUUGUGAAACCGAAAGUAAAUUGCAAUUGAGUUUCGGCACAUAAAGAACGUUUUUAAGAGUGAUGUUAUUCGACAAACGAACGGAACCGGAUUGGGUCGCAACAACAGAUUCACCAUUAGGAAGGCCAACCGGACACUCAAACAACGCUAUAGUAUCAAAUAACCAAGAUAAAUCACUGGUCACGUGAUGAGUUGCCCCGGUGUCAAUGAUCCAUGACUUCGUGUCAAACUUACCAUUCAACCUGUCAUCCGGAACUUGAGCAUUACCAAUUAAGCCGGCAAGAGCUUUCCAUUGUUCGGGAUUUAAAUAUCGUACGAACUUGCGGCGUGCCUCCAAUGCCAACUGAAUAUCGGAAGCCCAAUCAUCGUAAUUGUCGCCGCGUAAGCGAGUGGGAGUGAUGAAGUCGCCUGGUCGGUCUCCUGUGCCGAGAAAAAAAGGUGAAUUCAUCUCCCUUUUAGGUGGCGGCAAUGGUGGUUGUUCAUCGUCGCCGGCCAUUGUUUUAUUGUGUGUGCAUGUUAGUGCUCUGAUACCAUGUAAAGUGUGAUUAAAGGGUCAAAGCUUAACCCUAAUUGAUAUUCAUCCAUGUAAAUAUAUAGUACAUCAAGCAAACCUAAUUAAGGGAAAACCGUGAGUUUAGGAAACAUUCCUAAACAAUGCCGUGAGUUUAGGAAACAAUCCUAAACAAUAGCAACUACUUUCCUAGAAUAUAUCAUAAUAUCUCAACAAGUAUUGACACUUUUCUUUUCUGUUUAUACAUAAACCUUCUUCAGAAAAGAAUUCCACUAGCCAGUCUGUUACUUCUCCAAAUAUAUCUCCUCUUCAUCAGUGUACAGUGACGCUUUGAUAAAAGCUUUUGCAGAUAUCUUCCUUGUGCUUAUACAAUUUUGUUCAUCUUCAUCUCUUUUAGGAAAGAUAUGAAGAGCUUAGACAAAAAAUUGAAGAUGCAACCCUAAAGUCAAUGUCGUAUGAGCUUAGUUCUGCAGAGUUCGUGGCUUUCUCAAAUGUAGAAAGGGAAAACCAUCCGACCAUAAUCAAGGUAUGUUUACUCAUUAUUACCAUUAUUAAUUAUAUAUCAAAAAAAGGCAACACGUGCGGCUAAUCAUAUGAGAUUAAAAUGAUUAUAUAAAUAUUUUGCCCAUGGAUUAGUAUUUAAAAAAAAAAAAAAAAAAAAGCAACCAAUUUAAGCUAUAACUAUUUGGUUAACAUGAGAGAGCUAGGGAGUGGUGAUAAAGGAAGUAUUUGACAACAUUUCUAUAACCAUGAAUGGUGACUUUGUAGGUUAUAUUGGAGAACAAGGAGACCCGCCCUGAUGGACUGCCACAUCUAGUUUAUGUAUCCAGAGAGAAGCAUCCCAGGCAUCCACACCAUUACAAAGCCGGUGCCAUGAAUGUUCUGGUAAGGAAGCCCCUUGAAUUGUGGCAUAAUUACUGAUAUUCCUUCUUUUCCCCUGAUUGUUUCAUGAUAAACAGACCAGAGUCUCUGGAGUUAUGACAAAUGCUCCUUUCAUGCUGAACGUAGACUGUGAUAUGUACGCCAAGACCUCGAGUUUGUUCAGACUCCACAAUCCUUCUAUGAUGGACUAAAGGACGACCCAUUUGGAAAUCAGCUAGUAGUUUUGUAUAAGGUAUGCUAAAUUUCAAUAGUGAAGAGUGAUCUCUUCCAUACUAUAGAGCACACGUAAUAGAAGCCUCUUUCAUUUUUUAUUUUUAUUAAUUGAUGUGUUUGCUGAUCAGUAUGUGGGAAGUGGGAUAGCAGGGCUUCAAGGACCUAUGUAUGGUGGAACGGGAUGUUUUCAUCGAAGAAAAGUUAUCUAUGGGUUAUGGCCAGAAGGUAGGAUGGAGAUCAAAGGAAGAAGUGAUGCAGCCAAUUUAUUUGUCUUACAUAUCAUUCUAAUUUUCUUAGGGGGAUCUUAAAAUGUUAUAUGAAACUAUGCAUGCAAUACAAUUUUCCACUUCUUGGUAGGAAAAUUAACUGAUGAGAGAUUAGAAAAAACAUUCGGAAAUUCAAAGGAAUUCACCACAACAGCUGCAAGGAUUUUAUCCGGGUUGAGCGGGAUUUCCCAUUGUCCAUAUGAUCUUUUGAAUCGGGUUGAGGCAGCCCAACAAGUUGCAACUUGCAGCUAUGAGUAUGGAACUAGCUGGGGUACAAAGGUGAGUUGCAAAUAUUUAGGACAAAAAGAGUAGUACCUUGAAUAAAAUCCACGUUUCCUUUUUUACCUUAAGUUCAUACUUUUUUUCAGUAAAUAAGGAUUUUCGUUAUUUUUAUUUUUAUUUUUAUUUUUUUUAAUUUAAAAAAAAAAAAAAAAAAAAAACUUCACUGAAAGCUGCAUUAACUCUACUUUAAGGCAUUCUCACUGUAUAAUGGUUUUAGAUGCCUGAUGUUUUGUAAUCAGAUUGGCUGGUUAUAUGGAACCACAGCAGAAGACAUUCUCACAGGUAUGAGGAUACAUGCAAAAGGUUGGAGAUCCACAUACUGCCAGCGUGACCCACCGGCAUUUCUUGGGUGCGUACCCUCAGGCGGGCCUGUUUCACUUACCCAACGGAAGAGAUGGGCUACCGGCCUCCUUGAGGUCCAGUUCAGCAAGAACAGCCCUUUCAUCGCCACCCUUACUGCCAAGCUCCAAUUCCGCCAAUGUCUUGCAUACAUGUGGAUUCUUUCUAGGGGUCGACGGUCAAUUCCUGAGCUUGGUUAUAUUGCUUUGCCAGCAUAUUGCAUCAUGGCCCGCUCACAUUUCUUGCCCAAGGUAAGGAUAUUGGAAAGUCUCUCAAAUUUUUAAUUGACAUAUAUUUCUUUUUCUAAAAAAAAUGUUGUAUAGAAUAUUUUUUAUGCUCAAGUCAUUAUAAUUGGAUUCCUUAUGGAAAUAGGGGAACUAUUAAAAAUAUCUCGAUAAAUAGCAUAAGUCAUGAUGAAAAAAAUGUUACGAGAUAAAAAUAAAUUUAUGAAGAAUAUAUGUAAUAGAUAGAAAUGUGAGGAAGAAUAGAAGGCAUUUGGUAAAGUUGGAUUAAAGCUUACAUUGACACAACAAGUGGUAUCAAAGAUUUGAUUGAAUAUUUUUGGAAGGACAACAAGAAUAGAACACAAAAAAGGAUUACAAAAGAAAUUAAUUUUUAUUGAAGGUAAAGUCAAUUGUUUCUCUCAUAAAAAUGUGAUACAAGAAGCAUGAGGAUCGUGACGCAUGACAAGAUCAUGGUGCACGAAGGCAAUUGUGACAUGCGAGAAGAGCGUGGUACACAUGGAAGCUGGGUAUAAAAUAAGGAUUUGGUUAAAACAAGCUUUGUAAAAGAGUGUAUCUUAAAUAAAUGAAAGAAUAACUUAAUAAAAUUUGAUCAAAUGUGAGGAUGGUUGGAAAACGUCUCAAAUUUCUAAUUAGUAUAUAUUUAUUUUAAAAAAAUAUUUUAUUGAAUAUUUUCUAAUUUCAUAUGUCAUUAUAAUUAUAUUCUUUAUAAAAUAAGGAAAGUCAUUGGAAAAUAUCUCUACAAAUAUUAUAAAUUAUGAGAGGAAAAAGUUAUGAAAUAAAUAUAUGUUUGUGAAGACUAUCCAGAGAUGUGAGGAAGAGUGAAUGAUACUAGAUGGAAUAAGAGGACUAAUUAUUUAAGGUAUAAAUACAAAGAAUGAGAAAAUAUAAGAUAUUUACUGAACUAAUAAUUAAUUUAUUUUUAUCAUUUAUAAUAAUUUCUAUAGUAUAGUGAAAUGUUAUUUGUCAUAUGUUAAUAUAGACAUGAUUAGUCGAAAAACCUCAUGUAUCUCUGUGUGAAUUAUUUGAUUUUUGUGUUCUUGCAUUAGCAUAUUUCCAUUGAAGCUUCCACUUGCACAACAUAGCUAGUGUUCUAAGAUAUAGGUCUUGCUUUGUUUUUGCUUUUCACCAACCUUUGUUUUAUUAUCAUUUUAUGCAUACCUAGCAUUAGUACUUCACCAACAUUUGUUUUGUUAUCAUUUUAUGGUCCUACUAGCUAGCUAUAUUAUGCACACAUAGCAUAUUAAUUCUAAUUUUGCUGAAAAUAAUUUAAAUUCUAAAUGAUUUCUACUUUAAAAUGUUCUAAGAUGCAACCAAAUAUACACUGUAUUAAUAGCUUCAAAUUGUUGGGGGGUUGUAGUCCUGGUCACCAAGCCUAAAAUCUCAAGCUCUUAGGUUAAUUAUAAAGUUUGUAAUGUAACAAAAAUAUGCCCAAUAAUGCAGGUCCAAGAGCCAGCUAUGUUUGAUACCGAUAUCUCUCUUUAUCACUUACCACUUUUACACUAUUGGAAUACUGUGGGGCUGGGCUUUCAAGCAGAGCAUGCUGGAAUAACCUGAGGAUGGGGAGAAUAACCACAGUGACUGCUAGGUUAUUUGGAUUUUUCAGUGUUAUUCUGAAGCUCCUGGGAUUGUCGAAGACCAUCUUUGAAGUUACAAAAAAAGACCAAUCUACUACUCCUGUGGAGGACAAUGACAAGGAUGCUGGUCGGUUCACCUUUGAUGAGUCUCUGAUUUUUGUUCUGGCCACUACUCUUGCGUUGUUGCAUCUGGUGGCACUGGUUGCAGCCUCGAUAGGACCAUCUCAUGUUGGGAUUGAAUCAAGAAUAGGGGAAGUAAUAUGUAGUGUGUGGCUAGUGCUAUGCUUCUUCCCAUUUUUGACAGGCCUGUUUGGGAAAGGAAAAUACGGGAUACCCACAUCCACCAUUUGCAAGUCAGCAGCUUUGGCACUGCUUUUUCUUGCUUGCAUCAUUACAAGAGAAAGAAAGAGUUUCUAGUAAGUCAAUUGAAAUGGAGGAAUCUUUACUUUGCUGAAGAGCGUAAGUAUUAAUCAAAUUUGUUGUGACAUGCAUUAUCACAAUAAUUAAAUGUAAGAGAAAUUUUACAACUAUGCACCAUUUUACUGUCUUCUCGUCUCUAUCUUGACACUCUCCGUUCCCAAAUAAGACGGUAUUUUUCCAUUUUGCCUUUCAUAGUAGCCGCAGCUGCAACUUGGGGAACUGAAAUCUUGGUGGUGAUAUUAAGUUAGGUUGACAAUUUUGUUCCAACAGAAUUUGAUUUAAUGCUACUACUUAAGAGACUAAUCAACUUCAAGAGCAAGAUUGAAAAUUCAAGGAAAUGAAGUAGAUUAAGGUGAGUUGCAAGUUCGGCUUAUAAGGGUGGCGAUUCCUUGAUUUGCAUCACUUCUUUGUUCUUCUCAAGGUUUUAUUUCUUCUCUACUUUAUCCCAGUGCAAAUUGGUACCAGAGCAUUGGUUUCAUGGCUAGUCAUUGUCAUCACAAUUAGAAUCACAAGUGUUCUUAAUGACCAUAUUAAGUUUUCUUUUCUUAAAAGUUAAGUUCUCUUUUCUUAAAUAGUUUUCAUUUAUUUUCCCAUAUGUAUAAAUUUUUUGUAAAGGUAAUUUAGAUUCAUUUUAGAAUUCAUAAUACUUAUGAAGUUUGUGUUCCAAUUGUUAUUAUUAUUAUUAUUAUUAUUAUUAUUAUUAUUAUUAUUAUUAUUAAUUAAUUAAUUAAUUAAUUAAAUUUUAAAAGUAUUUAACUAAUGGCUCAUUGAUGAGAAGAACUCUAAUGCACCUAUAAAUUGAAAAGCUGUUGGUCCCUCUCUCUACUCUUAUAUAUAUAUAUAUAUAUAUUCAAAAGUAUUUCCUUAUUUCUCACUAUGGAGUGUAUAAAGGGGGAGCAAGAGAGUGAAGAUCAAGAGUGAAAGAGUUCAAGAUGAUUACUUCAAGAACUUUAAGUUAUAUGAAAUUAGGAAUAUAAAUCAAGGUGUACUUUCUUCUUCACAUCCUAUAAGGCUUUUUUUUUUUUUUUAAUUUAAGUUUGAUAUUAAAUAUCAAGUGAAAUACUUUUUAACAUUUGGUAUUAGAGUGAGGUUAAUCAUUUGUGUGUUUAAUUUUUUAUUUGGAUAUAGAUGAAGAAACACUAUAACCUAAAGUUAUCUCUUGAUGUGAAGUAUAAUAACUAGACAUUUUGAACAAAUUAUUUUAUUUUUCAUAGCACAAAGCUAUGAUAACAUUUACACUUCUAUAACUAGAAGUUGUGAAUAAAAGAAUGUGCACAUAUCAUAGACCAAGUUAUGAAUAAAUUAACCUAAAUUACAUAACAUAAAGUUAUGAAUGAAAGAAUUUGUUAAUAUCAUGAUGGUUGGAUAUGCAAAAGCGUUGAUACCAAUUUGUUGGAGUAAUAAGGUUGAUCGAGAGAAACAUGAACAAUUACAAAAGAAGAUUAGUUAUAGUUUGCAUUAGACUCUCCAAAUAUGCAAGUAACAUUUAUAGAAUAUGUCGAUCUUCGUGCAAUGAUUCCUGGUGAAGAAAUUAGAGAAAAACAAAAAAACACACAAAUUUAAUGUGGUUUGGUGGAUUGUCUAUGUCCACGGGAAUAAGAAAGAAGACUUUCACUAUAUAUCAAAUUAGAGUUAUAUAAAAAGGGCAUCUAUACUAACCCUCAGAUAAUGAAAUUCCAAAAAUAUCCCUAUACCCCCUAACAUAUUAUUCGCCCUUAAAAAUAAAAAUACAAGUUUAAAUAGCAAAUAUUGUCAUUUCAUUCCAUUCCACUCCACUCCAGCAUUUGCCCAUUUUUCUCCAUAUAUAUAUAUAUAUUUCCCUCAAUAUGAGCCACAUACUACAACAAAAUAACUAUCUUGGGGUUGUAAGUCAUGAGUUUGAGAUUAUGAACCAUUAGAUUUUGAAGAAGCCAUGCAAAACUAAAAACGAAAUAAUAUUCAAGUAAAAUCUCUUUCAAAAGGGAAAGACAUUUGAAGUAAAAUGGAUAUACAAAAUAAAGAAGCAUACAAAAAGAGAAGUAGAGAAAUACAAAACCUCUCAAAUAUGAAGAUUUUAGAAGAUUAAAAAACAUUAUUUGAAGUUACAAAUUAAGUUUAAGGGAUUAUACAUGUUAAAAAAUAAACUUGAGAGGAGAAAAGUUUCGAAUUAAGAAAUGUAAUUUGAUUUAGUUUCUAAAAGUCAAUUGAAAUAUUUUAGUUUGAGUAAUUCAGUCAUAUUUUAUUAUUAGGAGUUUUUAUUUUGUUAAAUACAAGUAUAUAUAAAAAGGUUGUAUAAUAUUUGAACAAAGUCCCAUUGGAGGAUAUAUCAGAGGUGUUCAACAUCAGUGUUUUGGUUUGAAAUAGGUUCUCUGUUAAGUGUCAUUGUUGAAUGGUGGUUGUACUAGGAUCCAUGUGUUGAAUAGAUGUUGUAGAGUUGAUCCAUUAUUGAAUGGGAAUGUUGACUCCACUUUUGAUGAAUGUGGGGACAAUAAAGCGAUGUUCUCUCCAAAGUAUGAAUGUUAAGCUACUUAUUAGCUUAGCUUUUAAUGUUGUAUAUCAAAUCCAUUAAUAGUUUGUUUGAUAAUGCUUUUUUAAAAUAUAAAAAAAAAAUGAAAAAAAAGAAAACGAAAAUCAAACAUUUAACUAAAUUUUAAAAAUCACUUAUUAUUAUUAUUUUAUUUUUAAAGAAACAUUUUACAAAUGAUUCUCUCAUAAAAAAAAUAUUUAUAUUAAAAGUUUGUUUGAUAGUGAUUUUAAAAAUUAUUUUUAACAUCUUUAAUACUUAAUAGAUAAAAAAUUUCUAAGUGUUAAAAAAAUUAGAAACAUUUCCUAAAGUUACUAUCAAACACAUUAUAAGAGUGCAUUUAAGAAUAAUUUUAAAAAACGAUUUUAGUACUUCUAAUGAUAAAAAAUUUUAAAAAUGUUUCUUAAAAUUACUAUCAAACGGAUUCUAAAAACACUUAUAAAAAACACUAAUAUAUUUGAGUACUAUUUAAAACUCCAUUUCAUGUGCUGCUCCAUUUCUUGAGUUCAAUAAAUAGAAAACAAGGAGGUUUGAGAUAUAAACACUGAAAUAAAAAACUCUAAUACCAUAGUGUGGACCCCGCAUUUUCGGCUCAUGCGUUCCCACUCAAUGGCGAAACUCGUUUUUUGUUUUAUUUGAUGAAAUUUGAUUUUUAGAAAAAAAAAAAAAACUUGGAGUCGCCACUUAUUUUUGUUUUACUUUUAAAGGGUAAACAAAAUAUGAAAGAAAAACCCUAAGUGUGACUCUUUAUUUCGGAAAAGAUGGUCUACGAAAAACCAGAUCGGGUUCGGGGGUCAAGUUACUUAUUGGGAAGGUAUGGUAAAGACCGUAGCACCCUUCUAAGUCCCUAGAAACGGGUCCCUACUAAUAAAAUGGAGCUAAUGUGGCAAUUGAUAAGGAAAACAAUGAAUACCCGGAACUAUCAUACACAUAUGAGAAUCAAAACAUGUAUAUAGAAAGACCAGAAUGGGAAUAGAUACGUACCUGGGCGACGAGCCACAAUAAGCUUAUCAAAAAGUGAGGUUAAUGCACAAUUAAGAAAUAAUUUCGAGCAUGUCAUAGAGUAGAAUAACAUCAAUCAUGCAUGUCAAUUAAAUCAAUCAAACAAUCAAUCAAUUAUAAAUUCACUUAUGUUGGGCCCCCACCAAAACAUUUUAUUUUACAUGAAUUAAUCCCAUAAAUUUCAUUAUUCGGAAUUACGGAAAAUUCGUUCAUGCUUAUUAAAAUCAAGAGGAGCAGAAGAUUGUUGGAAGACCAGAAUGGAAUUAAAGUUAUUCGAGAUAAAAUCGGAUUUUUGAAAUUCAUUUGAAAAAUUGGAGUCUCGAAGGUUAUUUAAAGAAAAUUGGGAUUUUAGAGUUUAUUUGAAGAACGGACUUUUAGGAAUUAAAUGUGAGAAUGUGAAUUUUUAGAAAUUAAAUUUGAACGAGGUUAGAAACUUGAAAAUGAUUUGAGAGUUCAGGAUUUUAAAUGAGGGGAUAAGUGGAUGAGUGAAUAAGUAAAUGAAUGAAAUAACGAUGGUGAAAUAAUAAAGUUUAGGUAAAUAAUCACGAAAGAUGGAAUUUUAGAGAUUUGAAGAUGUGAAUUUAGAGAUUGAAAACUUAAGAAUUUAUUUAGAGAUGAGAUCUUUGGUAUAUGAAUAACUGAAUAAGUAAGUGGAUGAGAUAACAUUAAUAACGAGAAUAAUCAUUAAACAAUGAUAUAUGGACGGUGGAGUUUUUGAGAUUGGAAAUUAGAUUUGGAAGUCGGAUUCUGAUGAAUUAAACUUUAACGAUUAGAAUAAAUAGAUAAUAUGGAAUAAUAAUGCUACUUAACGGAAACAAUAUUUUAAACGAAUAGAAAAGGAGUAGUGGAAUUUUAAGAUUGAAAAUUAAGUUAGGACGUUGAAUUUUUUAAGAGUUGGACCUUAAAUGAAUAAAAAGAUAAGGGAUAAGAAUUCUAGUUAAUGAAAAUAACAUUUGGGCGAAUAAUAGAAUUUCUAAGGUUGAAAGUUAAAUUGAGAUUUUUUAAAGAUUGGACUUUAAAUAAAUAUGGGAUGAUGAUUCUAAUGGAUGAAAAUGAAAUUUAAAUGAAUUAUAGAAUUUUUGUUAGGAUUGAAAAAUUAAAUUAAAAUAUAGAAUUUUUGAAGGAUUAGACUUUAAAUAACUAGAUAAAUACGAUAUUAAAAUUCUAAUUGAUGAAAAUAAGAUUUAAAUGAAUAUUUGAAGAAUUAAAUUAAGACAUGGGACUUUUGAAAAAUUACUUAAAGACCUAAGUUUUGAAAAUGGGAUUUAAAGUUUAGAAUGUAGUAAAUUCUUUGAGUCCAAUAUAAAUUAAUUUAUAUAAAAGUUUUUCAUAUAUGGUGAUUUAGACAUAAUUUAAAGAUGGGAAUGUGAAAUAUAAAUUAUCUUGUGUUUUGAAAGGAUAUCCAACCUUAAUAAUUUGUCCUUUAAUCGUCUUCAAGUUGAGUUAAAUAAAUUGGUAUAAAUAGAAUAAGAUAACAAAUAAAAGGGAAUGAUUGAAUUAAUUAAUCAUGGAUAUUAGAGAUUUUUAAGAGAAUUAUUUAGGAUUUGGGCAACCUAAUGGGCUAAAUUGAUGUGGGCAUGGGCCAAUGAGGGUGGCUAGCAUAGGGGACAUGGGGCCCUUCAUCAACAUGCUUGGGUUGGGCUCCAACUCAAGCCCAAACUCGUCACCAAGAGCUUAGGUCUGGGCUCCAACUUAAGCCCAAGGCACCAUCACUAUAAAAGCAUGGGCCUGGGCUCCAACUUAAGCCCAAGGCACCAUCACCAUCAAAGCUUGGGCCUGGGCUCCAACUUAAGCCCAAGUUCAAGGCCAAUAUGGGCAAGCCCAAAACGUAUUUCUAUCACAAACCUGGGCUUGGGCUCAAACCUCCACCUAUGGGCAAGCCUAAAAGGCUCCAAACUCCCUCACAGCCCACCACUCCAACCGGAUCCUUCCUUCAACCCCACUCCCUGGAGACCCUCUUAUGUUGAUGGCUGCAAAAUACUAAGUCACGGAUUUCGUUGCGAAGCUGCAACAAUUCAAACUUACAUUUUAAAAAAUUUUAAUGAUAACAAUUUUAAGUAUUAAAAAUAUUAUAAGCACUUCUUAAAAUCAUUAUCAAAUGGAAUCUAAGAGUUUGUUUGACAAUGAUUAUAGAAAAUGUUUUUAAUAUCUUCAAUACUAAAAAUAUAAAAAAUUUCAAAUGUUAGAAAAAUUAGAAACACUUCCUAAAAUCAUUAUCAAAAGCUUUAUAAAAAUGCAUUUGAGAAUAAUUUUAAAGAACGUUUUUAGUACUUUUAACACUUGAACGAAAAAAAAUUUUAGGUAUUAAAAAUAUUAAAAAUAUUUCUUAAAAUUACUAUCAACCGGGCUUUAAAAACACUUAUUUAUUUGAUUGCUAUUUAAAACUCCAUUUCAUGUGCUACUUUACCUCAUGAUCAUAGAGAUGCCUUACCUCAUGCCGUGCCCAGAAUACAAAAUUCCGCUUAUGUCUUACAUUUUGUGGUAGAAAAUCGCAUUAACAUCACACCACAUCAGUCCUGUUUCCACUACUGGAACAGAAUUUUCAGGUAGCCUCUAAAUACUAAUUUUUUCAAAGAUGAGCUAGGUUCAUGUUCCAGGUCAGUUUCUGUGUUGUCAAUGGACAGAGGACGUAACGUACAAUAUUAUCUGUAGGCCAUGGCUGCUUCCUCCAAGAAAAUUAUGUUAUGUCAUAAGUCACGGAUUUCGUUGCGAAGCUACAAUAAUUCAAACUUACCUUCCUUUAAGAUCAUGCUUGUGUCUACAUUCAUUUUCCCAAAUAUUUGUAGUUGAAUUUUUUGUCAUGUAGGGGCCGCGCACUUAAGGCAGAUCUCAAGUGAGUCAAAGAAUUAACAAAUUAAGGUGACAUUUGAUAAAUUAAACUAAAAACUUAAUAUUUAAUUGUUUAAGAUGAUUUUAAUAUGACUUUUACUAAACUUGAUGAGUUGAAAAUUAUUAUUAAAUUAUUAAGUUAAAUAUUAAAAAAGUUUUUAAUUUUUCUUUUAAUUAUUGCUUAUUUUUAAAAGAUUUUUACUAAAUAAAAAAGUUAAAAUAUUUGAUUUUGUUUUACUAAAUAUUAAAAAUAAUUUUUAAAACAGUCAAAACAUAUUCCCAAUAUGACUAUCGUUGUAUUAAUACUUAAUACUUAAUAAUAAAAAAAUAAUAAAAAAAAAACAAAGAAUUUAAUACUCAAUACUAUUAAUUGUAUUUAAAUUAACUUCUUUUUAUAUAUAAGUAAAAAAUCCAAAGUAACAUUAGAAAGUAAAACCAAAACUCAAGUGAUUUUCUAAAGUUCCAAAAGUAAUUUUUAAAAAUUUACCAAAUAAUUUUACUUUGUCUGAACACAUUUAUAAUGCAGUAGAACAGUUCUGUUGGCCAUUGAGAAAAAGAAGGGAAAAACUAUGGUAGGGUAGCCAUCAAUGGAGUGGCCGAUAUGAAGGAGGUGAUAAAUCAAUCCAAGCGUCCAUUAACACCUCCACAAACCGCAUACACCAUCUGCCCAACAAGGCAACUUUAAGCUAUCCUCCCCCAUUAGAUGGCCAAACCAAUUCCUUCACCUCUCUAUGAAAAAAUCCCCCAGAAAAACACACUCCAUAGAGCCUCGGACGUCACCAUUUUCUUCCUUCUCCUCUCCCUCCUUGCUUACCGUCUCCUCUCCCUAAAAAACAAUGGCUUCACUUGGCUCCUCGCCUUCCUCUGCGAGUCAUGGUUCACCUUUAUUUGGAUUCUUAACUUGAGCUCCAAAUGGAAUCCUGUGUCCUACAAAACAUACCCUGAGCGCCUUCUACAAUGUUAUCGGUAUCCAAUAAUUCUCUUAGUAAAACUCUUCAUGUGCUUUGGUGUUUUUUUCUGCCUCCAAAUUUUAUAUAUAGUCAUACUUAUGAUUUUCUGAACAGAGUUGAUGAGCUUCCUCCAGUGGACAUGUUUGUGACAACUGCAGAUCCCAUGCUGGAACCCCCGAUCAUCACUGUAAAUACUGUUCUCUCCUUGCUGGCAGUUGACUAUCCGGCUAACAAGCUUUCUUGCUAUGUGUCCGAUGAUGGGGCUUCCCCUCUCACCUUCUUCGCUCUCCUUGAAGCAUCCAAGUUUGCUAAGCUUUGGGUUCCUUUCUGUAAGAAGUAUGGUAUUCAACCUAGAGCUCCCUUUAGAUACUUUUCCAGAGAGUUGUUACCAUCCCAUGAUAAUUCAAUGGAGUUCCUGCAAGAA